UUCUGUAUAUUUUAAUUUUUUUACCUCUAUUUUUUUUAAUUAUCGUGUUUUUACUUUAUGAAGCUUCCUAUUUUUUUAGAAAAAAACAUCAAAUACUACCCACAUGGUUUCUCACUUUCUCACUUUACUAUCCUGUGGUUUAAAGUAUAUCAUUUUGGUACCCUGUGGUUUCAUUAUUCUCUUUUUAUUAUCAAUUUCACUAAUUUGUUUUCAUUAAAUCAUUAACAAAGUUAAAAUUUAAGGAUAUUAAAGUGAAUAUUUGAUAAUUCUAGGUAAGAUUGUCAUGCCCCGGAUUACUCGUUUUUCCAGGCACGCCGACAAAUCCGUCAUAUACAAAGAAAUUUUUUCUGUAUACGAAGCGAUAACUGUAUCUGAAAACAAAAUUCAAGCUACAACUAGUAGUAUAGAGCUGCUAAACUGAACUGAAAAUAAAUAAAUAUCGAAUUCACUAUACAUACAAAAGCUCUCAGAUACAAUAUCUCUCGCUCCAGCGAGUGACAAGCAUAAGUAUAUACAUGAACCAAAAACCAAAACUACAUGUAGCUGGUACUCCUCUAGUACUGCAACCUAGGAAGGGGUCACGAUUCGAAUCGGCAACAGCAGCAGCCGCAGAAGAAGACUAUAAAAAGGGGUCAACAACUGGGUGUGAGAACUACUGCAAAAAGAAGUAGUCCUCGGUGGGUACCGCUACCGACCUCAACGGCUCACACACUAAGUCUACAGAAAGUAUACUCAAGGAUAGUAAAGGAAGCUGGAAAAACUCUACAGCUACAUUCCACUAUACUAUCGCUAACUACUAUUCUGUAGAUAUAGAAAUGUACUCUUUGACCCAAUCUCAUUAGGGACUGUGAACGCACCCGUCCCGCCUGUCGAAACUACACCAACCACCACCACGCUGGGUUGUUGGUGGAGAGCAAGUCCAACCAGGACACUACGACAACAACGCAAAAGUAUGUACAAAGCCUGACUCCGGAGUGGUACUCGUAGGCGCUACCCAACCGAGUAUGCAAGUGUGUUUCUACGGAGCUCAAUCAGGCUCUCACAGGCUAUAGUCAAAGCAAAUGGGUCUAACUGGUCUAACAACCAAAACUCACGUGUUCUUGGCACAAUUUGAUGAAAAAACAACAAACUGGAUCCCACCGUCAACCACGACGGCAUUCGACAGUCCAGAACAGUCUACACACUACUGUAAAAUAAACUCGGCAUCCCAGCACCAGCGUAAACUCAUCCUAUACUAAUCUAGAUAUCCACCGCAUACAAACUGCAGCGAUACAAACAAACUACAGCUCCUAAAGCUAAAUCUGGUAGUUUUCAGAAAAUGACAGUAUAGGUUCUGUAGUUUUCUUCUAAGUCAAUUCCAAAUCCAAUAUGUAAAAUGAUACUACUAGCUUAACUCCAAAUUUAGAUUUUAAGUCUAAUCCAUGAAUUCGAGUACUAGCAAGAAAAAUAAAUAACGAUACAUGUCGACGCUAUAAUACUUAGGAGGUAUUCCGGCGAUUUCGGUAAACUUCAACCUAUCUCGAAACGCUCAUCCAAUUACGGUGAGAAGUCGAAAGGAGAGGAAAUCACGCCCUCGCCCGGCCUCCCAACGACGUAACCGCGACGCACGCGCUCCCGAACGGCCCUCCGAAAAGACGUCGAAAAUCUCCCGAGCUCGAGUCGCGAUCUCCACCUUGACCACGAUCAACACUAGAGAAAGAGAACAAAAGGAGAGGUUCUCAGCUAAUUAAGUUGAUAAGGAUAAGGAAGGUUAGGUGGCAAUCUUAUCCACCCACAAAAAUGACUACAAUAUCCCUCACUAACUCAAAUUACAGCUGGAGCACCGGUACUCAAUUUGGUUACCGGUACUCGGCCUCUCAACCCGCAAGCUCGCACACAGGGUACCGAUACCAGCCCGAUGCCGUACCGGUACUCAACACUGAAAUCCUUCACUUUGUGGAUUUCAACGUCAGAACUCCACUCUCGCCUCACGUCGAGUCCGUUUUGCGUCCAUUUCGCAUCAAAACGAUUCCGAUUUAUCCUGACACUCUCCAGAUAUGUCGCCAAGCCUCAAAUACUGAGAUCCACAAGCGACCCAAAAACCAGGGAUACUACAAGCAUAUAUGAAGUUUUUGUAUAUAAUUCAACAAAAUAUUUAUGAAAAUACCGACGAAAAGAUAAAAAAAUGAAACCACAGGAUACUAACUUGAUAAACUUUAAACCACAAGAUACUAAAGUAAGAUGGUGUGAAACAACAUGGGUUGUAUUAGAAGUUUACCCUUUUUUUUAUAUAUCUCUUGCUUCUCGUGACUUUCUUUUCUGACUCGAUCCUUGACCAAUCUAAAUUAGAAGCUAGGCUUGGUUUAGGAAAAAAAUUGUGAGAGUUUACAUUCUUCAAAACUUAAAACAAUUUACCUUAAAUUCUGAAUUUAAGUUAUUAAAUAUGAUCUGCAGCCUCUGAAUAGCUUAUAAAUAAAAAAAGUAUAAUUUUUGAAAUUUUACCACUUUGAGCAACAACAAAAAUCAAUGAUGUUAAAAAACAGGAAAAACUUCAAAAAACCCCCUGUGGUUUUGUAGUUUCUCACUUUGCCCCUCUGUGGUUUAAAAUGUAUCAAUUUGCCCCCCUGUGGUUUCUUUUUUCUCUUUUUCUUAUCAAUUUUUUUAUUUUUUUUUUCUUAAAUCAAUGAUAAAGUUAAAAUUAAAGGGUGCUAAAGUGAAUAUUUGAUAAAUCUAGAUAGGUAUCUAAAGUUUUUUGUAUAUAAUUUAAUGAAAUAUUAACGAAAAAGCUACCAAAAAGAUAAAAACGAAACCACAGGGAGGCAAUUUGAUACAUUUUAAACCACAGGAGGGCAAAGUGAGAAACUUCAAAACCACAGGGGGUUUUUUGAAGUUUUCCCUAAAAAAUAUGUGGCGGAUUCUAUUAGAAAAAAUUAUAAAAAUCAUGGUCUUUGAUAUGGUUAAUUGCAUAAGAAUCAUCCGAAUUUUUCCCAUUUGCAAGUAACCACCUAAACUUUUAAUUAAAGUUUUAUACCACCAUCCAAACAUUUAAUAUUUGCUAUACUCAUUUAGAUUCAUAUUUUAUCAACUUAUAAAUAUUAAUAUUAGCCAAUUGGUCAAAAUAAUAAUAAAGAACACAUGCUCGCAAUAAAAAGGCUGUUUUUGAUAUCAAAAAUUGAUUUCAUGGAUAAAACUGACCAUUAUUAUCACACUGAUGGUGUAAACAAUUAAAUGCUAAACAUUAAUUUUUAUACUUUAUGAUCGAAUUUUAACAUCAAAAAGACCCUUCUAUAUUUUUCGAUCAUUUAACUAAUAUUAAUCAUAUUAAAUUAUAAAAAUAUAAAUCUAGGCAAUCAACUGUAAAGUUUUAAUAGUUUAGGCAGCUAUUUGCAAACAUGCAAAGUUUUUAGUGGUUGGCUUAUCGUCCUCAGAUAUCUCAAGUUCGCAGCCUAGUUGUUUCACAUUACUAGUUAAGUUAAUUUCUGAAAUAGGAACGUGUGGAUUAAUUGUAAAAUAUAAGUUCACAUACAAAUGUAAUCUGGUAAAUAUUAUUAGUUGAAAAAAAUAAAGAUUAAAAUAGUACAUAGACAAUUACUAAUUAUUUAUUUAGUACAUGUUGAUAGUAUUGAUGUUUAUUUCCUGACAUUUAUUCCAGCAUAUUAGUUGGAAAACAAAUGUUCUUUCUCCAACAUAUUAGGUUACAAAAAAAAUCAAAUUAGUUAAUAAAUAUAUGGAUCAUACAACAAAGAUUAGUUAGUUAUGUAAUACAUGUUGAUAGAUGUUUUUGGUUGGUAAAACUAUAAAAUAUUCAUUUUUCCUUUUCUUUUUUUAUAUUGCAGCGUCGCUGUUUAAAGUUUUAAUUCAAUAAAGAAUAAUAUUUGAUUCUACGUAGUUACAUAUAAGUAGUGCACUCCACGAAUGUGGAUCUGGCAUCUGAAAUUCACACUCAAAAUCCAAGUUAAUUAAGAUUGUUUUAUGAGUAAUACUAUCCAUACAUCCUAUAUAGAAUGUAAAAUUUACAUCCAUAGACCUCCUGUGGCCCAUAUUCACUCACUUGUUUUUAUUAUUAUUAUUUUUUACUCAAAUCUAAAAGGAUUCUAUCAAUUCUUGGAUCUUUGAGUGUAAAAUGUACGUUCAUAUAAUUAUUUUUUUUAAAAGAGAGAUAAAAGUUGCAAGCCAUAUGCUUUAUUUAUUCUUUUAAAAAAAUAAAUUUAGCUAAAAAUAUGAAACAACUAAACCCCAAAUUUAGAAUCUCGGAUACUCCUUAACCGGCUGCGCUAAGUACAGCUGGUCAAACACUGAAAUGUCAAUGGUCUGAUUCAACCAACGCACAGAAAUCAACCCCUUCUCUUCUAUCUUUAUCUAUCAAGUGGGAUCCAUUGAUUCCAAUUUCAAGUUGGAAUUCUUUAUUUUAUUAUUUAUUUUUAUUGUAUAUUAUUACAACUUGGGUUUAAAAAAAAAGAAAAAGAAAAAUCACUCAAAUCCAUCCCCUUGACUUAUAGUGAAAGGGAUAUCCACUGGAUUUCCUGAAUUAUUUUUUGAUCCUCGAUUGGCUGAACUGCAUAUAAUAUAUAUAUUAUAUAUAUGGUGAGUUUCUAUACUGAUAUUUAGAAACAGCCUCUAUUUGGAUAACAAUGCUUCUCAUUAAAUAAUAUUUUGUUUUUUUUUUUUAGGGAAAAAAAAAAGCUAACAAAAUGUCUCAAACAUGUGGUGGAACCCUAACUCUAUUUUCUAGUAAACGGGAUUUUUUUAGGGAAAAAAAAAAGCUAACAAAAUGUCUCAAACAUGUGGUGGAACCCUAACUCUAUUUUAUAGUAAAGUGAUAACUUCAAAAACCCCCCCUGUGAUUUUCAACUUUCUCACUUUAGUACCCUGUGGUUUAAAGUGUAUCAAUUUGCCCCCCUGUGGUUUCGUUUUUCUCUUUUUUUUUAUCGAUUUUAUUUUUUUUUUUUCUCAAAUCAGUAACAAAAUUAAAAUUAAAGGGUACUAAAGUAAAUAUUCGGUAAAUCUAGAUGGAUAUCUGAUGUUUUUUUGCAUAUAAUUUAACGAAAUAUUAAGAAAAAAGCUAUAGAAAAAAUAAAAACAAAACCACAUGGGGGCAAAUUGAUACACUUUAAACCACAGGGUACUAAAGUGAGAAAGUUGGAAACCACAGGGGGGUUUUUUGAAGUUUUCCCUAAACAUUGCCUUGCCUUAAUCCUGAACUAACAGGCAACUUUAUUGAAGUACCUUACAACUGGAAUUACAUUGUUUGAUCAUUUUUUUGUUUUUUGAGAGAUAGGUAGUAUACUACCUGGUUUGUUUAUUUAAUUUAGAAAUAAACUUACCUGGAAAUGUGAAUCAACUAGGAUUCGAACUUGGGACCUCGUGUACCAGCCACCAAACCCUUUGCCACUUGCCCUAGGGACGGUCGUUGAUCAUUUUUAUUUUUUUUGAGAGAGAGGAAUGUAGCAUGCUAUCUACUUUGUUUAUCUUUUUUACAAAUAAACUUAGGUAGAAAUGUGAAACAAUAGAUUCUAAACAUGGGAUCUCAGAUACCAACCACUAAAUCUUUUGUCACUUGCGCUAAGGACGGACAGUAUUGAUCGAAUAUUUUAUUAUUAUUGUGAUAGUAUAUAUCUGUGUGUGGUAUGUGUGCGUGUGUGUGUGAGAGAGAGAGAGAGAGAGAGGUGGUUGUUGAUUAUUUCAUCAAUUUAUCUGGUACAUCCAAUUUUUUAAAAUUUAUAAAAAGGCAUCUAGAUUUAUUUCAUGAAUUUAGCAUAAGGUAACUAAAUGGCCAUAGUUCAUCCCUAUUUAAUCAAAAAAAAAAAAACUAAAUGGUCAUAAAACAAUAAAUAAUAUAUGACAGCAAUAAGUUUUUUUGAUGCUAAAAAUUAACUAUGCCAAUAAAUUUGACCGCAACUAUCAUACUUAGUUUUAACAGCCAAAUGUCAAAAUCAACUUAUUUUGUGUUGCAAGACAAUAUUUUUGACGUCAAAAGGCCUUUUCCCAGUAUCGUUUUUGCCCAUAAUUUUACUUUUAUAUCCAUUUUAAACUUAGGAAUAUAAGUUUAACCGGUUAAUUACAAAAUUUUUAAAGUUCGACGGACGACAUGUUCAUUCAAAUUGAACUACUCGAAUAUCAAGUUCUCAAUUUUUAUUUUUUUUACUUAAAUAAUAUUUUUUCAGAAAACUUUCUCGUGAUCUAUAAAAAUCUAAACACAGCUCAUGAUCGGAUAGUAAUUGACGAAUCAUUGGCGCUAAUCAAUGAAUUCACUUAAAACAUACAGAUACAACGCCCAUGAAUCUUGAUUGUGACUUGAUCCAAUCAGCCACCUGCCACUUUGGACAUGCUCAGCCCAAUUCGAUCUUCUAUCAUUUCGAGCGUGACUCAGUCCAACCUGAUAUCCCGCUAUACAAGAAGAUGCUAGUCACUUUAAGACUUAGUUUGGUAUUGAGGCCUAUCUAAUGCUAUUAGAUAAAAUGGAGUUGGAGUAAAAUCGCAUAGGAAUAUGUAUUUGCGCUCUCCGGUGGGACCGCAAGAUAUUUUCUCAUGGUAAUUUUUUAUCGCACGUAAUGCAAUUUUCUCACAAUACCAAAGGAAGCCUGAAUCAACAGUAAUUUGGGUAGCAAUUUGAUGUUCAAUUCAAUCCAUAAGAAUAUGGCCCACACCCUCUUAUCUUCUAACCUCCCAACCACAACUGCCUAUAAAUAUAAACAUAAACACCCUAAAGCAAGCAAACUAAGUGUCAACUCUUUUUAUUCUCUUCUUUUGUUUAAGAUGCUCUCUCCUCCCUCCCAUUCUUUAAUAUCUCCCACAAGUCAACACACAAUCUCACAUAUCAAAUUUUAUUAUUAUUAAAAUGUUUUUCUAACAUUCAUUAUUUGAGUCGUUCUAUAUACUUGGUCAACUCCUACACUGUUCCAUUGCAUGUUUUCUCAAUAAAAUGGUGGUUACUGUGAUCACAAUCCCUCUCAAAGGCCCCUCCUUUGGUCAAUAUGAGGUGGGCACCAACAAUGGCUCCUCUCCUCCUCGUCCUCAUCCUCUUCCUCCUACCCAGUUGCCAUUCUUUGCCCCUGUGCACGGAUUCAAGUGGGUCUUUUUCUUUUUUGUCCUUGUAUUGAUCCUUUGCGCUUUUUGUGUGUUCGUGUUUGAAUCCAAUGCUGGUUUGUGUGCUCAUGAGCAGAGUACCCUGUGGCGACGAAGGCGCCGCUGGCGUUCUGCGGCUACGCCAACGGGAGCAGCAGCUGCUGCAAUGCGACCGACGACGGUGCGAUCGCGAGCCGGUUCAAGAGCUCGAACAUCUCUGACUCCGCUUGCGCCAAUGUGGUCAAGUCAAUCCUCUGCGCGGUAUUGGCCCUGAGCUCUCACAGCUGUAUUUUUUUUUUCAGUGCCCGCCAAGUGCUCGAUGAAACGCCGCUUCCGGAUUUCUCCUGUUCUUAAUUGCUUUUGGGAGUACAAAGAAAGGGUGUUUUUUAAACCCGAAUGCUCUAUGGUUUCUAUGUGAAACUAUGUAUCAUGGACGUAGCUAUAAGCCUCGCGUGUUCGUGUCUGACACACGUGUGUUCAUGUCAGACUCAUAUCUACGUGUUCAGCACUCUUCUAUGACGCAUCCCAUAAAAAAAUAUAUUUUUAUUUUACUUUUUUAUGCAUAUAUAAUGUAAGAUGAUAGAUAUCUUGGUUUCUUGAUGAAUGCAUAUAAAAUUUUUUGAAUGAUAUAAAUAAACUAUGUAUGGCGGAUAGAAUUUUUUCUUAAAAUAUAUGAACUGUCAAUGAGAAUUAUAUUAAUAUUCAUUCGUAUGAGAAGUAUAACAAUAUUUUAGCAAAAUUAAUACUUUAUAUAUAAUUUUUUUUGUUAUUAUAUUAAUAAUACUAUAUUUUAUUAGCGGUGUUCAUACCGUGUCCAUAUACUAAUCCUUUUAAAGUUGUCGAGUCGCCAUGACCAAGUCGUAUUGUGUCCCCUGCCUUGUGUCCGUGACUCCAAGAUGCGAAAUGACAUGAUUGUCAUCAUGCAACUCGGGCAGGGAGGACGUCGGGUUCUUACGGGUCAUGAUAAAAGCCUCCACUCAUGUAAUGCAAGAUGCUUACCACAACAUCUUGAAUGAGUUUAACACUUCCCUAUGAUCCCCCUAUGUCCUGCCCAAUGUUACCUGGAACGGGAUAUGCUGUGGUGCGUGGUAUGGGUAAGGAAAUGUGGUUCACUAGUUUUCAGUAUGAGGGAGGUAGGAUUAGUCAGAACAUUAUUCCAUGUGGCCUUUUAAAACGUCAAUACAGAUCGACAUUUAUAAAAAGCUAAAUAACUUACCUGUAUUACCGUAUAGUUCUGUACUUUCAAUAAGGUUAGAUUGUGUAUUCUCUCUUCUAAUCAAAACCACGUCAAAUUUUUUUCCAAUGAGUAUGACUCGUUUACUUUACUAUAUCUAGUAAAACACGCUUCUUUCGGGUAACAAACAAAUUAGAUCUAGAAAAAUCAGAGUACUUCUAUGCUAUUCCGGUUUGUCACUUUUUGUGUCCGAAUCGAGAACCUGCCAAGAAUCAGUACCUUCAUUCUGGGUCGCAGUUUGGAGGGGGAGUCUAUGAUCCCGGUAACUAUGGUCCUGCCAACGCGAGUUGCAUGUUGACAACAUGGCCAUUUUGAGGUUGAAAGCACCAAGGGUUAAAAUGCACUAGUCAAGGAUCUGAAUGUCUAGAUCGCGUGGCAUGGAAUCUAAUCUUCCUACAUUCAUUAUCAAGAUUCAAAUGGAAAAGUCAAGAUUCAAAUGGAAAAGUAAGGACAAGGCAUCUCCAUUGUUUAUGUGAUGGAGAUGGGGCCUCCCUAACACCAUGAAUUGCACUCUGCCAAUCUUUUCGGUCCACAUGGUGUGAAUGAGAUCCAUUCUGUUUCAUGAAUUGCACUUUACACAACCUGAAUCUUGACUAGUGCCCCUGCCAAUCAUUAUAAAAUUCCAAAACAGGAAUUCAUAUUGGGUUAUUAUAUAAUGAUCGUAUUGUUUUGGUCGGUAGUACUUUAAUCUUACUGUUUGCAUGAGGUAACAUGGUUAUCCGUUGCAGUCUUUUGUCCUACUUUUAUCUGUGUUUCUGGGUAAAUUGGACAGGGACUCUCCACAUUCCAGUGACUUGUUUUGAUAACUGAUAUAUCAGAUAGUGUUGAGCAGAGGUGUCUCCUACUUGUCAAGUUGCAUCAUUCAGUUAUGCUUAUUUUUCUACUCUUAGAAUGGACAGAAGUUUUUCUUGGUUGCUUGUAGGUGCAGGAAAGAAGAUUGACAUAUUUUGAUGUCUCCUACUUGUCAAGUUGCAUCAUUCAGUUAUGAUUAUUUUUGUACUCUUAGAAUGGACAGAAGUUUUUCUUGGUUGCUUGUAGGUGUAGGAAAGAAGACUGACAUAUUUUGCGUCAUUGAAACUCUUGUUUUCCUUUUAAUUCACUUAAUCUGUUUGCUAUAUCAUUAUCUCUUGAAAUUAUAGCUCACAAAAUAUAGCUCGUCGAGUAGCUGCUUUUGUGUAUAAUUGAAGAUUGUAUACUUUUCUGCUGAACUUUUCUUUCUUUGUAACUGUAUGUUCUCUUCAACCUAGAUUUCAGAUUAUCUGUACUAAGAAUCUCCCGAGUCCUAGCUGAAAGUCAUUUGAAUGAAUGAAACACGGAAACACUGGGCUGCUUCGUUUCUCUUUUUGAACAUAUUAGGUAUCUGAUGUUGUAUAAGCAAAGAGUGUCAACUUUGUGAAGCACUUUUUUUCUUGGUCCCUUUUGUGUUUACACAUCAUAAUGCCUCUUUACCAUGCAUCUGUUGACAUUUUUUGUUUUAUCUUUCAUAGUUUUUUUUUCAUAAAUAAGGCCAUAUAUUUCCCAAUUGUCCUCUCUUGGUUUUCUGUUUAUUUGUAAAUGCGUAAAGUAUUCAAUCUCAAUCUAUGAACUUGGAGUUGAUUUCUUAAGAAAAUAAGUCUAUUGCAUAUGCAGAAAUGUGAUCCAUAUUCAGGCGACUUAUUCAAUGUCCAACCUAAGCUUCAAACAGUUCCUCUCUUGUGCAACUCAACCAUUUCAUCAAACUCCGGCAAUUCCUCAGAUUUCUGUAUGACUGUUUGGGACACUUGCAAGGAUGUACCCAUAACAAACUCUCCUUUCUCCCAAGGAACUGCUGGAUCUUCGUCUAAACUUACCGAUACUUAUAAAUCAGAGUCUGACUUUUGUGCAGCAUUCGGAGGCUCAUCUAAUGAUCAGUUAGUAUGCUUCGAUGGCACAUCGGCUUCAUUCAACUUGACCCAAAGCUCUCCCCCUCCAAAAGGUUUGUGUCUUGAAAGGAUUGAUAAUGGCAUGUAUCUCAACAUGGUUCCUCACCCCGACGGAUCAAAUCGUGUAUUUAUAAGCAACCAAGCAGGUAAGAUAUGGCUGGCUACUGUUCCGGAACAAGGAUCGGGAGGAAAAUUGCAAUACGAUCAGGCGAAUCCCUUUCUUGAUUUGACUGAUGUUGUUCAUUUUGAAAAUGAGUUUGGGCUGCUCGGUCUCGCAUUUCAUCCCAAAUUUGCAGCCAACGGUCGUUUCUUUGUUUCAUAUAGUUGCGACAAAUCUCAGUCAUCCAGAUGUUCCGGAAGAUGUUCAUGUAAUUCUGAUAUUAACUGUGAUCCUUCAAAGCUCGGCAUGGAUAAUGGUGCUCAGCCAUGCCAGUACAAUAGUGUCAUUGCAGAAUAUACUGCUAAUAGUUCCUCAUCGACACCUUCCACGGUAUGUGUAAAUAUCUUUCUUUUCUUCUUCUUUUUUUCCUUCGCCUCAACAUUUAGUGCUGUUUAUCUAUAGCUGACUAAUGGACAAAACAUGUUCAACAACAAUGUUCUAUGCAAGUUUUCUUUUUUCCUUCAGACAAAAACAGCCAAUCCGAUUGAAGUCAGAAGGAUAUUUACAAUGGGGCUCCCGUAUACAACUCAUCAUGGAGGGCAAAUACUUUUCGGGCCUGCAGAUGGAUAUCUGUAUUUCAUGAUGGGAGAUGGUGGCAAUGUAGGAGAUCCUUUCAACUUUGCUCAAAAUAAAAGAUCAGUUCUUGGAAAAAUUCUGCGGCUCGACAUUGAUAGCAUGCCAAGUAGGUUUCUAAAAUAAAAUAGCCGCCAAAGGGCUGCUUCUUCCCUUCCUUUUUUGGCACAAUCCAAACCAUCUAUAGCAUCUCCUGUAAUUAAGUUUUAUUUACUACUUUAAUGCCAUAUUCUGUAGAAACUGGAAGCAUAGGUUAGUUAUGCUUUUGCUUCCGUGAGCAAUUAUAAGAACAGUACUUAAUUUAUGACAUUCUAGAUAAGAAUCUUCUUUGUUUUUUUUCCUACUCAAAACUAGUUAGCAUAUACUAAAUUUUAUAUGAUAGUUGUUAUUGAUCAAAAGUUCUAUUAUAUUCGUUAGCUCUCUCUCUCUCUCUCUCUCUCUCUCUCUCUCGUGAUCAUGCUUUUUCAAGUUAAUGUGUUCCACCUAGGGGAUAAUUCAUCAUAUUGGUAGAAAAAUGUUUUGUAAGUAUAUUAUAUGGUCAUAGACGUUGUCUAAUACACCUCAUCAACCAAUUAUUUCAUGCCACUUGGGCAAAUAAAAGGGAUAUGCUGGACAAGAUAUUCAUGCAUCAAAAACAAAUAUAUAAUCAUUGGCAUGGGUCUGGAGUACUAGGCACAAACUAGUGUUGUUAGUACUUCGGAAAUAUGUAUAUUCCGUGUUGGUACCAAUGAUACCCUGAACUUCGGUAAUCUAACUGGCUUAAAUCAGUAUAGCCUUCAUUGGAUGUAUUAAAUAUACCGAUAGUUAAAUUGCAAUCCCACUCAAUUUCCCAUCAUUAUGUAUCUUUGUUGUUAUAUCCAAAUUGAGAAAUAAAAUUUUCAUUGCACAUUGUCAUAUUUUCUUGAAGUUGCUUAUGUAGCAAACUUUUCUAUUCUUCCGUCUUUCCUAAUUAUGAUGGUUACAAUUUUAGGUUCCAACAUGAUAAAUAACCUUAGUUUAUGGGGGAAUUAUUCCAUUCCAAAAGAUAAUCCAUAUGCUGAUGAUAGUGGAUUCCUACCUGAGGUUUGGGCCUUUGGUUUGAGAAAUCCGUGGCGGUGCAGCUUUGAUUCACAAAGGCCGUCGUAUUUCUUCUGUGGAGAUGUCGCCCAGGUAUCUCUACCCAGCUUCUUUCCGUAAUUCUGCUGCAUCCUCAUUGACUUGAGAAUUAUACAAUAUUUCUUCUUCUAACGUCAAACUGGCAAAUGAUGAUAUUCUUUUGAUGGUUGUGCUUAUAUAACUUGUAAGACGAAACUUUUCUAAAUAAGAAGUUUCUUGCCAUGAAUAGAGAAAAUUCAUGAUAACUGGAGAUAAGGUAAUUAUUGCCACCAGAAAAUGCUCAUAAUGAUGAUGUUAUUUAUAUUAAUAAUGCAUGUCUUUGUGGCGACGUGCUUAUAUUUCAGCUUCUAAAAUUUAACUCAACUCCAGCUUGAGAUUUUCUAAAUAAUUUAUUUUUUGCAAUUUGUAGUUUCCGUUAAACAGAUUGUUUCCAACAAAAGGAAAAAAAAAAAAAAAAGAAGCAAACUUCAGCUCCUUUUUUUUUAUGAAGAAUGACGAAACUAACCGGAUUCACGCCCAAGAGGGUUCCUCUUCUGUCAUUAUUACUUCUUCACUCAUAUGAUUCAAACUUUGUUAUCAUUGGUGAAUUUUUCCAUUCCAUCUCAAAAUAAUUCAAAGUUCGGUGAGUAGUGUAAAUGUGUAAUAAUUUGGACUGCUUUGAACUCCUACACAUAUAGGAAAAUUAUGAAGAAGUAGAUCUAAUAACAAAGGCCGGAAACUAUGGAUGGCGUGUUUAUGAAGGUUUUGAUCUUUACAUCCCACCAUGGACUCCAGGGGGGAAUACAUCACUUAGCUCCAUAAAUCCUAUCUUCCCUGUCAUGGGCUAUUUGCACUCUUCUGCAACAAAUGUCGGAGCUGCAUCUAUUACCGGUGGUUAUGUGUAUCGGUCAAUGACUGAUCCAUGCAUGUUUGGAAGGUAAAUAUACUUACAACUUGUCGUUGAACUAUUUCUUCCAUACGUAGUUUGUUGAUCACUUUUAGAUCCAUUUAGGACAUGUUUGGUUCAUGAUUGGAAUAAGAACGAAAAAUGAAAUUGGAUUGCUUUGGAAUGGGGAAUGGAAUAACGAAUUAUCCAAAAAUGUUUGGUUCAUUAUUGGAAUGGAAAUCGGAAUGGAAAUCGGAAUAGAAAUUUAGAAUUUUUGAGAGAGGGUUUUGAUUAAGAGAGAGGAAAGUGAUGAAGGGAGAGGAGGUAGGUGUUGGUGAAAAAGGAUUUUGAAUAGUUUAUUUUGGAAUGGGCCAAUCCGGAAUUCAAAGCCGGAUUUGGCCAUAAAUAGAUUUGGCCAUUCCCAUUCCGGAGUGGAAUGGGAACUGCAAUCCGAUUCCUAUAAGACAAACGACAACUAUUGGAAUCAAUGAAUUUCAUUUCGAUUCUAUAGUCUAAAAUAGGUGAACCAAACAUGCCCUAAAUGGAUUUGGCCGUUCCCAUUCCGGAGUGGAAACAGCAAUCCGAUUCCUAUAAAACAAACGAUAACUAUCGAAAUCAAUAAAUUUCAUUCCGAUUCCAUAGUCUAAAAUAGGUGAACCAAACAUGCCCUUACUGUUGUGCACUAUUUGUUCCAAACCAAAUUACCAAAUCGAACCGAGUUAUUUCAGUUGUUUUGCGGCUUAUUAGUAAUUUGGUUCGGUCUGCUUUUGCGAACAGAGAACCGAAUAAUCCAAAUUAACUGAAUUUCCAAUUUGUUUGAUACAUUAGUUGUUUUAUGAUGAUUAAGCGGUUAUAAUGUCCAAGUACUCUUGUUUUUAGCUUCAAGAUUUUAAGGAUAUGAUUGAUCAUAGUUAUAAGUUUGAUAUAAUAAUUUGAUACAUAUUAGCCCAAAGGGUAUUCCUGUUUGAACCAAUUAAAUCAUCAAAACCAAACCAGAUUACUUUGGUUCAGUUUGGUUUGAUUCAUCUCCAUACUUUGGUCUGGAUUUGGUUUACAAAUCACACCAUAAAGCCGAAUCAAACUAAGUGAUGCACAAUCCAUUGGUUCAAUUAUUUCUUUUUUUUUUAGCUUCUCUUAUUUCUGUGGGAUUAUAGGUACAUAUAUGCCGAUCUCUAUGCAACGGUAAUGUGGGCAGGUACCGAGAACCCUGAAGCAAGCGGAAAUUACACUAGCACAUUAAUUCCCUUCAGUUGCUCCAAGAGCUCUCCUAUUGCCUGCGAUUCUGUAGCCGGGAGCACCCUCCCCUCACUAGGCUAUAUAGUCUCAUUCGCGGAGGAUAACAAGAAGGAUAUUUUUCUCUUGACAAUUAAAGGUGUCUAUAGAGUUGUUCGGCCGAGCCUCUGCAACUACACUUGCCCAAAGGAGAGCAUAGCGAAUGCCCCAGCGUCGCCCCCAGGUGGGCCUUCCUCGUCAGCGUCCAAGAUGGAAAGCUUUUCACGAAAACUUUCGGCUUUUGUGUUGGCUCUAUUUGUAAUUUUGGCGAGCUUUCUCUUUUAAGUGAUCUUUGGAAACAGCUCUGCUGCUAGGAAUUGCGACUGAUGGAAUGGUUUUGACCGUUUUGGGCAUUUGCUGUCUGUUUAUCUUGCGUAUCAUUGAACUUGAAAAAAUUGGAAUUGAAGGUUUUGUCAUUGUUGAGCUGUUGUUUUUGCUCUUGCAGUUUCUUUGUAUCUCGGCUUUCGAGAUCAUGUACAAUUUCAUAUAACUUCAGAUGUUGUUGCUCUUCUUUCAGUUCACAAAUUUUUCUUGAUAUUAGCUUGUUUCGUAGAUCGAAAAAUUUCGCAUUCUUUGUUCUUUGCAAGAUAAGUUUAGGGUAUAUCCUGAGAAAUUAGAGACAGCAGAGAGUGAAGAAAUAAGCAUUGCUUCAUUACCUACAUGCUGAUAACAUCAAUAUCAAUAGUUACACAAAAAGCCAGAAUAUAUAUGAUGUAAGGUUUGCUUUACAUCGCCAUCUCAAGAUACUUGAAGUUGCUACUUCUAAUUUACGAUAUAUCUUUAAAUAUACCCCUCCAACUCUCUUAUACUGUUGGACUUUUUUUUUUAUUUUUGUUCUCGCUUUUUUGUUUUUGUUUUUGUUUUGUUUCUUUUUGUGUUUUUGAUGUAAAUCAUAAACUCAAACCAUAAAUUGCUACAAUUGGAAUUGAAUCCAAAAAUUUGCUAAUAUAUAUUGAGAUUAUUGAAGUGUCGUACACCAAUCCACUUUAGCAUAGAUAAAUAAGGUACUCAAGUUUGCAGAUAUAGGUUCUGAUUUUAAAUCAAGAUAACACCGUAAUGAGGUAGAGGAGUGUGCCUGAAGUUUGUAGAAACUAUUGAUUAUGUCAACAAAGGACAACAACAAAAAAAAAAAAAAAAAAAAAAAAAAGAAGGAACGAAGGAAAAUAUUGAAUCUAUGGUGAGGCACACUUUGAAGACGUUACACAGGACCAAAUUUUUGAGGAUUUAUGAUCAUAUAUUCUCAGUGGAUUACCUCCUACUAACACAGCAUCAUUUUUCCCUGCUUUUCCACAUGUAGGUUGUACCGAGAUCCUUGCAAAGUAAUGAAAUUAUGAUUUAGUCCCCAAAAUAAUUUAGUUAUUAUAUAUAUUUUUUAAAAUCUUAAAAUUUGCAAAUUUAGGCCUUAUUUGGUAUUGCUGCUAUUUUCUAUAUUUUUAAAUAAAAACUAUAUGUGAAAGAAUAUGAGAUUGGACGAUGGAUUGGUAAAAAUCCUUCUAUCCAAAGUGCUUGUUCGGUUAAAAAAAAUAAUAAUAAUAAAAAAAUCUAGAAUUAAUAACAGUUUUUCAUUUUGCUUCUUGAUUGUUUUCUUUUUAAAAAAAUUAUCAUCUCUCUUCCAUCCAAAAUAUACUGCAAGUUAACUAAUCAUAACAAUCGACCGUCCUUAGAGCAAGUGGCAAAGAGUUUGGUGGUUGAUAUUCGAGACUCAAGUUUGAAUCCUAGUUGAUUCACCUUUCUAGCUAAGUUUAUUUCUAAAUGAAAUAAACGAAUCGGAUAGCGUGCUACCUAUCUUUCUCAAAAAAAAAAAAAAACUAAUCGUAACAAAAGCUAAAAAUUCCAACCAUUGACAUAUCCACUUUCAUAACUUUUUUUUUAAAGCAUUAAAAAAAAAAGCGAUGACACCCAAUAAGGCCUUGCCCUCAAAAGUUGACUUUUUUUUUUCUUUUUCUUUUUUUGUAAAGAUGAUCAUUCUACUUUGUUUAAUGAUUCCCCUUCCCCCCUCUUUUUUUUUUUUUUCUAAAGUCAAAUUUCUACCAUUAUUGUAAUUCCAUGCAAUCCCUAAAAUUAACCUAGACCCUUUUUAAUGUUAGAAAAGUGAAGUUUUCAAUAGGGUAUAAAAUAGUGAAAAAUAUGCUAAGGCCUCCUGGUAGUGGACUAAAAAUUUAGUUUACCCCUAAAUGCACCAUCAUUGUUUAGAGUAGAUGGCUCUAUCAAGCCCCUAUAAAAAUUGAUAUGCUCGCAAAUCUAUAAUCGCACACUUCAUGGUAGAAUUUUAGGAAAACUAUAGCAUUACACUAAUUACAAUCCGCAAACUCUUUAAGCCUCGCACGAAUAAUCUGUUAAAUAUAAAAAUAUUUAAACACCGUUCUCUAAGACUCUAACAGCUUAAACUUUUAAAGUACAAUGGUUGUUUCACAUAGUAAUAGAGCAGGAGGUCAUGAGUUCGAGUCACGUCAGGCUCCUAGCAUAUUAAUUUCUUCCCAUUUAAUUCAAGCCCACGUCAUAGGCCGACUAAAAAGUUUCGAACACAAACGUGAGGGGAGUGUUAAAUAUAAAAAUGUUUAAACACCGUUCUCUAACAGCUUAAUAUUUUAGGCUUCGUUUGGUUCGGGUAUAAGCAAGAACUAGUUAUACCGGUUUGGUUCGGGUAUAAGCAAGAACUAGUUAUACCGGGGAUAGGUACAAGUAUGGGUUUUCGUAGGAACAAGGGUAUUUUUUUGUUUGGAUGAAAAUGUGAGUAUAAGCUGGAACUAGAAAAAUUGUGUUUGGAUGAAAAUAUGAGUAUAAGCUGGAACUAGAAAAAUUGUGUUUGGAUGAAAAUGUGAGUAUAAGGUGAAAUAGUUGGUAGUUAUAAAUAGAAAAUAAUGAUAUUACCCCUAUAAUUGAAUUUAAAUUUUUAAACCUUUUACAUUUUAANAAAAAUCACUCUCUCUCUCUCUCUCUCUCUCUCUCUCUCUCUUGUAGGGGGGAACAAGUUGUUCCACCCUUGGGUGGGAACACUUAUUCCCACCCUAUACCCGGUUGCGGGUAUAGGGUGGGAAUAAGUGUUCCCACCCCCCAAUUUUUUCGUUUGGGUACAAGAGGGGAGAUAACCCUCUUAACCCCCCUCUUGUAUCCAAUUCAAACGGGAUGUUAGAAUACAAUAGUUGUUUCAUAUAGUCUCAAGUAAGUCGUUGAUGUAUUGUCAAUUUUAGAUGAACUCUUAAAAUUGCGCUACCAACUAAUUAGGUUCUUCGCUUCAUGAAUGACAAUGCAUCAAUACUUUUUUAUUAUUUUUUUUCUGAGAGAAAAAAAAUGAUAAGCUAUUCAUUUCGAUCAUUAUUUAGAAAAUAAAUCGGCUAAAAAUAUUAAGUAAUUAGGUUUCGAACAUAAGAUCUCAUAUACCGACCAUUAAAUUUUUGGCCAAAUAUGCUAGAUAGGUAAGGCCAGUAAUUCAUCGAACAGGUUUUGCCGGAUCUUUUUGGGGUGCUUAACUGCUUAUAACACGGCACAUUAAAAACACAUACACUUAUUUCGGCGCGCAAUUUUGUAUCUAACCUCUCUCGACCACAAGUACGUACGAAAAUAUAUAUUUUGUAUUUAACCUCUCGACCACAAGUACCUACUAGAAUAUAAACAUAAACGCAUGAACAUAAACUAUAUAUAAAACCCACUUCAUUCUCCUCCUCUCUCUAAAACCAUCAAUUUUUGCCCAUUUGCUACACUUGCUCUUUCUUUAAUCACUCCCCUCAAAUCAAUGCAGAGUCUUUGCAAUUGGAUAUACAUUUGUUCCAUCAUGUUGGCUGCUUUAGGCCCUUGGUCAACUCUUUGCUGACACAGACCAUCUCUCUCUCUCUCUCUCUUUUGACUUUAUUUCACGGAUUGUUUUUUAUUAGAUUAAUCUUUUAGACAACGUGGUAUCAGCGCCGGUAUCAUUUUCAAGCUGUUUCCUAUCAGAUCGAUCCUGGGUAAUGUUUCCCGCUUCUCGGAGCUCAAUAAAAUGGAUAUGGUCAUAGGCCUUGUCAAAGGGAGCUCCUUUGGUGGGAGCUAACAAUGGCUCCUCUCUUUCCCCUCCUCCUCAUUUUCCUCCUACCCAGUUGCUAUUCUUUGCCCUUGUGCACGGAUUCGAGUGGGUUCUUCUCUUAUCCUUGUGUUUGAUCCUCUCUUCUCUGUUUCUCUUUAUGAGUUUGAAUCCAUUGCUCGUUGUGUUUAUGCGUGUGAUGUUUGCGAGAGCAGGGUACCCCGUGGCGUUGAAUGCGCCGCUGACGUUCUGCGGCUUCGCCAAUGGGAGCAGCAGCUGCUGCAACACUACGAACGACGACGCAAUCGCGAGCCAGUUCAAGAGCAUGAACAUCUCGGACUCCGCCUGCGCCUCCGUCGUCAAAUCGAUCCUCUGUGCGGUAUUUUCUUUGAGCUCUGUCUCGAUGUGUGCCAACAUCAAAAAAAUCUGUCUAUUUUUUGAAAUAGUUUGAAUAGCAAGGUUUGAACGGCUCUUUCAAAAAGGCAUGCAAAGAUCAACAACAAAAUCCAGUCGAGAUGUGCUAGGCACUAUUCUACAAGCAAGAUUGCUCCUCCACGCGCGAGGAUCCGGCAAUCACCUUCUAGCUUGUGCUAGACACUGUCUGCAAGCAAGAUUGCUCCUUCACGUGCGAGGAUCCAGUAACCACUUCUAGCUUGUGCUGGACACUGUCCUAAAAGCAAGAUUGCUCGGUCGGCACGUCUCUAAGGUAUAAGACUUCAGGUUAUGUGUAGGUGAGUCAAAAUCCUACGUGCGCAGCCCGCUCGGCUCAUGCCGUGCGCACGUGCAUUUAGUGGGGUGCACACAUUCCUGUAGUCUCCUAAACAGGUGACUUGGAGAUGAUGAAGUAUAUAAGAUACAACUAUAUCUCAUAAGUUUUCAAUAUUACAUUAAUCUCACAUAUAGGGGUGUCAAUGAGCCGAACACGAGCAAGUUGGGGCCGGCUUGUGUUCGGUUCAUUUAAUGAACGAGCCGAACACGAGCCGGCUCGUUAAAGUAUCAAGUCGAAAAAUUCAGCUCGUGUUCGGCUUGUUAAUAAACAAGUCAAACACGAGCUGGCUCACGAGCUGACCAACAAACAAUAAGUUAAAUGGAUUAGAUUGGAUAUAUAUAGAAAAUAAAUUUAUAAAAUCUUACCCAUUAGACUUUGAUCUAAUGGUUGAAACUUUACAUAUAAAUGAAUCUUUUUAUAAUUGAGCUCAGCUUUAUAUUUUUUUUGCUAAAAAUCAAAUAAUAAAUAUAUAUAUAAUUAUUUAGUUUUAUAUAUAUAUAUAUAUAUAUAUAUAUAUAUAUAUAUAUAUACACUANNNNNNNNNNNNNNNACUCAUCCCCAUUGUUAAGUUGAGCGGCAAGCGCUCGGUUGAGAACAAGACGAGCUUUACUCGAGCUCUAGCUUAGCGAGCAAAUCAUUUACUCGACUUAAGCUAACUCGACUUAAAAAGUCGACUUGUGCUCGACCCUAAUCGAGCGAGUACAAGCCGAGCUAUUAUCGAGCUUAUGUAUAUAAAAUAUAAAUAUAUUAAAUAUAUUAAAAAUAUAUAUAUAUAUUUAUGUAUUUAUAUAUAUAUAUUAUAAAAAUAAUAACACGUAGUAAGUGAUGGACAAACUCCCAGAUGAGGCCCAUUUGAUGUUAGGCCAUCGAGGAGGCUCAUAUGCCGAAAUAGAGUUUUAAAUCACUUUAAAUAAGUAAAUACUAACAGUUAAUGCUUAUGAUGAAUUGCAUUAAUGACUUUUUUUUAAGCAAAAAAGUUAAAAGGUUUUUUCGAGCAUGUGCUUUAACGGCAAUGGUCAAAAGUUGAGCAAGGGUGCUACUAAAAGAGGGUUUCGUGCUGUAGAUCGACAAAUUUUCGAUAAUAAAAAUUCUAAGUCAAUGAUUCAUAUCAUUAGACGUGAUCUAAGGUGUUAGAUUUUGAAGUAUCUAGGGACGAACUUUCACACUUUUUGAAAUUAUUUUAUAGCGUAUCAAAAGGCACUACUAAAAAAUUAGUCAUUAGUGGCAUUUAUUUAUGCUGCUAAAUGAUCAACAAAUGCUGCUAAAAAUUUUAGCAGCAUAUGACACCAAAUACUGCCUAUGCCAAUAUUGCUAAAAGUAUUAGCAAUAUUAAUUAUAAAUGCCAUCAAUAUAAAUCAAUUAGUGUCAUUAGGAAUAUACCACUAAAAGGGAUUAAAUGCUAAUUUUAAAUUGUUUAUUAAUGGCACAUAAAUAUAAUGCCGCUAAUACAAAUAUAUGAUUUUUAAAAUUUUAUUUUAUAUUUUUUUUAUACGAUUUUUAAAAUUUUAUUUUAUAUUUUUUUUUUUUGAGAUGUUACCCGCUUCAUUUAUUUCUUUUUGUCUUAAACUUUGCUGAAAAUGUGAAUCAACUAGGAUUCGAACUUGAGACCUCGAGUACCAACAACCAAGUCCUUUGCCACUUACGCUAGCAACUAUUAGUUAUAUAUAUUUUAAUUUUUUAUAUUUUAAGUCUUCUAUUUUAAAAUUUUAAAUUUUUAAAUUUAGAUACUAAAUUUAAAUUUUUAAUUUUGAAAUAUGAAAUUUUAAGUUUCAAAAUUAAUAGUUUUAAAUUUGAAAUUUGAAAUUUAAAAUAAAUUUAAAAAUUUAAAAUUUAAAAAUUAAUAAUUUUAGAAUUUAAAAUUUAAAAUAUAAAUUUUAGAAUUUUAAAUUUUAAAUUAUAAGUUUAAUUUUUAAAAUUAUAUGUUUCGAAUUUUAAACUUUAAUUUUAAAAUUUUUUAUUCUAAAUAAAAAAGGGAUAAUUAAUAAUUAUAUAUUAAUUAGAAAUGAUAUUUAGUAACAAGUGCUGCUAGUUUAUUAUAUUUAGCAGCAUUCACUAAUUUAUACUGCUAAUUUAUCCUAUUUCGUAACAUUAAUAGAAAAUUGCUGCUAAAUAAUUAAAUCUAACGGCAAUUAUCAAGUAAUGCUGCUAAAUAUAUUAAUUAACAUGAUUUAAAUAAAUGUCGCGGAGUAAAUAUUGCGGUAUUUAGCAAUAAGUGCUGCUACUUUAUUACAUUUAGUGUCAUUUUUUAUAAAAUACUGAAAACUUCGGUGGCAUUUACUAAUUUAUGCUACUAAUUUAUUCUAUUUUGCAACAUUAAUAAUAAAUUGCUGCUAAAUUAUUAAAUUUAACAGCAGUUAUCAAGUAAUGCUAUUAAAUAUAUUAAUUAGCGUUAUUUAAAUAAAUGCUGCAGAGUAAAUACUGCUAAAUCAUGAAUUUGUAGUAGUGAGGCCUCCAAAUGAAUGCUUUGAGGGAAACAACUUUACUGUAAAAGAGGAGAUAAUUCUUCAAUUUAAGGUCAAGGGUGCCAAUCUUGAUCUAGAUUUUAGCUAGAUUAAAAUAUAUAGUAACAAAACUUCAAUUGCUCUGGGCUCUUCGUUACUGUCAAAACAAUAAACGCGCCGUAUAGGCUUCGAUUUUAAGGUGCUUUCAUCAAUCAUUCCUAAAGAUUUGAAAUGCCGAUAAGAUAUUGAAUGGUGUUGAUCAUUGAAACGGAUGAUCGAUUAUUGAAGUGCGUCUGUAGCACGAAGGCUUUUGUGCUAUUUGUGGGUUAAAUCCAUUAUUUGGAGUUGAGUGUGAUUAAUCGAGUGGAAUAAUCGCAUUCUGCAUCAUCAAUAUUUGAAUAAAUAAUUGAAGCAAAGGCAUCUCAAUUGUUUAUAUGAUGAAGAUGAGGCCCGUCGACCGCAUCAUCUUUGCAUCCAUGUAGUAUGAAUGAUAUAUAUACUAUUCAUUUUCAUAAAAUUACACUUAGAUCCUGUUUGGAUGCAUAGUUACAAAAUUUUAUAGAGUUUAUAUUGUGUGAUUUUGAUCUGAAUUGAAGAAUAAGGGUAUCCUAGUCACUUUACUCAAAAUUCAGAACAAUCUAAAAUGGUGGUCCUGUUUUGCAAAAAUACGAAACAGGUGAAUUUUUUAUGCAAAUUGGCCAUUUAAAAUUUGAAAAUAAAAAUCUUAUAUCAAAAUUUUAAAUUUGACAUGGGAGAUGUGGAGCAAAAGAAUGGUAGAAUUCUUUUCGUUAGGUUAGAGUGAUUAAUAUUUUACUCUAUUUUUUACAAUGUAGUUUAACUUUACUUUAAAAAAAUUAUGUUCUUUUGAGCCUCCCAAAGACCUUAUAGGUUAGUUUUUCUAUAGGUAUGGUAUAGUUUAACUAUGUGACAUUUUAUAAGUUAUCCAAACGGACCCUUAACCCACUAUUCAAAAAAAAAAAAAAAAAAAAAAUCAUGGAGCACUUGUUUAUUGAUAAUAUUACUGAAGUAGGAUCUUUGUUUUUUAGUUUUUCUUGUGCUUUUCUUACUUGAUUUUUCUUUNCUUUAAAACACAUAGUUAGACAGAAAAAAAAAUCAUGGAGCACUUGUUUAUUGAUAAUAUUACUGAAGUAGGAUCUUUGUUUUUUAGUUUUUCUUGUGCUUUUCUUACUUGAUUUUUCUUUCUGUCUAACUAUGUGUUUUAAAGAGUCUUCAUACGUAUUCUUUACUCACACUGUUUCUCGAGUUUGUUCUAUACAAUUUAUAUAUUCUUUUCCUUGUAUCCAUUCCACCAUCUCAAACUGCAAACUUAAAAAGAGUUUCUUUAAAAAGCUGUUAUGUGUUAUUCCAUCUGCAGAAAUGUAAUCCAUAUUCCGGCGACUUAUUCAACGUCCAGCCUAACGUUCGGACAGUUCCUUUCUUGUGCAACUCAACCGUUUCAUCAAACAAUUUCUGCACCACUGUUUGGAACAGUUGCAAGGACGUAACAAUAAAAGAUUCUCCCUUCUCCCAAAUAACUCCUGGAUCUUCAUCUAAGCUCACCGACACUUACAAAACCGAGGGCGACUUUUGUGCGGCGAACAGCGGCUCGUCCGGCGGCCAGUUAGUGUGCUUCGACGGUUCGUCAGCUUCGUUCAAUUCGGCUCAAACUUCUCUCCCUCCGAACGGUUUGUGUCUCGAAAGGAUCGAUAACGGCACGUACAUCAACAUGGUUCCUCACCCCGACAGAUCGAACCGCGUCUUCGUGAGCAACCAAGCCGGCAAGAUAUGGCUGGCAGCUGUUCCUGACCCAGCAUCAUCAGGAGGAAAGCUGCAGUACGACGAAGCAGACCCGUUUCUCGAUCUGUCGGACGUCGUUCACUUCGACAACGAGUUCGGACUGCUCGGUCUCGCGUUUCAUCCCAGCUUCCCGACGAACGGGCGUUUCUUCGUCUCGUACAGUUGCGAUAGUUCUCAGUCGCCGUCCAGCUGUUCGGGGAGGUGUUCAUGCAAUUCCGACAGCAACUGCGAUCCUUCGAAACUCGGGACAGAUAAUGGUGCUCAGCCAUGCCAGUUCUUCAGCGUCAUCGCGGAAUAUUCUGCGAAUAGUUCCUCGUCGACGCCUUCUGAAGUACAGUGCUGCAAGUACCUUGUUUUUUUUUUUCCUGUUUCAGCGGAAAAUUAAGUCUGUAGACCAAUUUUCAUACUGCUUCUGCAGGCGAAAACAGCGAGGCCGAUCGAGGUGCGAAGGAUCUUUACGGUGGGGCUUCCGUAUACAACUCAUCACGGGGGGCAAAUUCUUUUCGGACCAGCUGACGGUUAUCUAUACUUCAUGAUGGGAGACGGCGGGAACGACGGAGAUCCUUUCAACUUCGCGCAGAACAAACGCUCCGUUCUCGGAAAGAUUUUGCGACUUGACGUCGAUAACAUGCCAAGUAUGUUGUCUUCAGAAGAUGUUUUCUUCUUCUUCUUUUCCAUUACAAAUUAGAGUGCGGCUAAUAUGCUUCUGGAAGCACGGAGCGCUCCGUGCUUUCAAGUUGUUUUUGAUAUUGGGACUUUCGAAUCGACGAUGAGCUCCGUUAGACUUGAUCUAGAGUAUUUUAAGUAUCUAGAAAAUAAAUUUUGCGAUUUUUUUAUAUCAUUUGCCUAGUGAUCAAAGUAGCUCAAAAUCAACGACCGAAAAUAAAAUCUUACAAAAUAUGAUGAUAUGACAUUAAAAUUUUAAAUCAAAAAUGUUGAUCUUGUUUUAUAUAGUAUAAAAAAUUUUCUAUCAAAAUUUUACGUGAUUUGAAUAUUUCUACACCGUUAAACUUGCAAACGGCUCAUCACGGUCCUUAAAAUUAUUGAUUUCGAGUCCCUUCAAUCACUAGGAAAAUGAUAUCGAAAAAUCACAAAAUUUAUUUUCUAGCUACUUCAAAUACUCUAGAUCAAGUUUAAUAAAGCCGAUCGUCAAUUCGAAAGUUGUAACAUCGAAAACGACUUGAAAGCACGGAAGGCUCCGUGCUUCCAGAAGCAUACCAGCUCACUCUACAAAUUAUACAUAUAUAAGCAAUUUUGAGAACAGUAGUACUUUUCCUGACCAUCAUAUGUUUUAAGGUUCAAAUAGUGUAAAUAACGUAACAUUGUGGGGAAAUUACUCGAUUCCGAAGGAUAAUCCGUCUACUGAAGAUAGUGGACUCCUCCCUGAGAUUUGGGCAUUUGGUUUCAAAAAUCCGUGGCGGUGCAGCUUUGAUUCAGGAAGGCCAUCUUAUUUCUUCUGUGGAGAUGUUGGCCAGGUAUAUAAUUUUCCUUAACAUCUUUUAGUAUUUUCUUUUUCUUUUUUUAUUUAUGUUUUUGACAUGCAAAUUUUAUGUUGAACUUAUAUGUUAACUAGUGAAAAUAAAACUUCACAUUCAUGAUUUCCUUUUGUUGUAAUUCAUGAUGAUACAACUUCUGCUCACUUUCAGAAAUAUAGAUAUAUUGGCAAAUUCAAACAAUAAUGAGUGAUAUAAAGUGUAAAAAAAAUGAACAUUUUCCAAAUUCAGAGGAAUCAAAGAAAGCAUGGGAACCAAGAGUCUAUUAUAUCUGCCUUAAAUGGCUAUUUGGUUUAAUUAUCUACAUUUUUUAAAAUACUUUUGCAUUAAUAAGUGGUAUUAAGUGUCAUUUCCAAAUUUCCAGUCUAGUGAUAGCAUUGGCGGAUCUAUAUAAAUUUUAGUGGAGUCCAUUAACUUUACUGAGGUAUGCCAAAUAUAGAGUUGAGAAGCUGGAAUGCUAUCGGUAGUAAACGGGCUUCGUUGCCACCCAUUUGUUUUCGAUGAUGGAGCUUUCAAAUCGACGAUCGGCACCGUUGAACAUGAUCUAUAUCACUUGAAGUAUUUAUAUAGAAAUUAAAUUUCAAAUCUUUUCGACAUCAUUUACCUAAUGAUCAAAGGGUUUCAAAAUUAGUAAUUUUAAUGGUAGAUAUGAGGGGUUUUCUCGUUUAACGGUGUAAAGCUAUUCAAAUCAAUUGAAUUUUGGUUAGAAAAUUUUUUAAGCUAUUUAAAACAAAAUCUAUACUCUCGAUCAUGAUUACAAAAUUUCUAUCAUCAUUUUUUAGAGGAUAUUUAUUUUCAGCCAUUCAUUUUUACGCCCACUUGAUGGAUAAGAAAACAAUAUCGAAAAAGCAUGAAAUUUCAUUUCUAAAUACUUCAAGUGGUAUAGAUCAUUUUCAACGGUGCCGAUCGUCGAUUUGGAGGCUCCAUCAUCGAAAACAAAUAGGUAGCAACGAAGUCCGCUUGCUACCGAUAGUAUUCCAGCUCAACUCGUCAAAUAUAUAUAAAUUUUAGUGGAGUCCAUUAACUUUACUGAGGCAUGUCAAAUAUAGACCAUAUUAACCGUUCUUAGAUUGUUGACUCACUUUGAGACCAAUAAGGUUAUCAUGCAUCAUUUUUAGAAUAGGAAAAUAUGUUGAGAGUAAUUAAAAAUAAAAAUGGUAUAUUUUUAUUUAUUUAUUUAUUUUUGAUGUUUUCUCUUCAUUACAUAUUGACCCCACUAAAAAAAAAUUUUAGAUCAGCGGGAUGCUCAAGCAUCAUCUAAUUUAGAGUUGCAAUCAAUGAACCAAACAUACUAAUUUUAUUGGUAUAGGUCUGAUCCACUCCAUUUAGUAAACACCCGAAGUUAAUUUUCUUUGUAUAUAUAUAUUUUUUGAACUGAUUUGAUUUUCUCUAAAACUCGCGAGUGUAGGAAUCAUAUGAAGAAAUAGAUCUGGUGACAAAGGGCGGAAACUACGGAUGGCGUGUUUAUGAAGGUUUCAAUCUCUAUACUCCUCCAUGGAGUCCGGGAGGGAACACAUCAGUUAGCUCCAUAAACCCCAUUUUUCCUGUCAUGGGCUAUUAUCACACAAAUAUAUCAAAAGUGGGAUCUGCGUCGGUCACCGGCGGUUUUGUGUAUCGGUCAAUGACCGAUCCGUGCUUGUAUGGAAGGUACAUAGACAUGCAUGAUGCAGCUUACCGUUGGAUUAUUCUCCUAUCUUGUUUUCUUUUCGCUAAUAAAAGAACAUGCAUUAAAACUACGUAGAUUAUACCGACCGUCCCUAGAGCAAGUGGCAAAGAGCUUGGUGGUUGGUACCCGAGACCCAAGUUCGAAUCCUAAUUAAUUCACAUUUCCAGCUAAGUUUAUUUCUAAAUGAAAUAAACGAAGCGGGUAGCGUGCUACCUAUUUUUCAAAAAACACUACGUAGACUAUAAUACAUUUUGAAAUUGAGUGCCCGAACUUUCCAUUACUUAUUAUAGAACUACUCUAGCCCUAAUAUGCUUAACCCUCUUAAUCUCUUAUGCCUUCGCCCAAAAUAUUUUUUUUUGAGAGAUAGGUAGUACCCUGCCUGCUUCGUUUAUUUUAUUUAGAAAUAAACUUAGCUAGAAAUGUGAAUCAACUAGGAUUCGAACUUGGGUCUCGGGUACAAACCACUAAGCCCUUUGCCACUUGCUCUAGGGACGGUCGGUGCCUUCGCCCAAAAUAUUAUAGCCAGUUUAAGAGGUUUUGUCCUAUUAUACUAGAUAUAUAGGACUAUACCUUCCCCAUUUAAGUCCUAACUUUUUUAUCAGCCUCAAACACACUUAGCCGACAUUGUAGGAACCCGUGCUCCGCCCACAACAAUCGUCGACCCGAAAGCCAUGCUCUGCUUACUGCAUAACCCUAAUGCAAUCGAGACACAUCUUAUAUUUCUGACUGAUGAUUGGUUCCGAUACUAACUAGGUUACUUAUCAUAGAACUACUCUCACUCUAGCAUGCCUAAUUUUCACCGUCCAAAAUGCUAUAUAUAACCAGAUUAAAAGAUUUAGUCCUGUUAUACUAGAUAUAUAAGAUUAUUCCAAAUCUUAGCCCUUGUUUGGUUGGGGGUUAAGGGGUGGAAUAACCCCUUAACCCCCAUUUUAUCCCCAAACACUCCAAAAUAUAGGUGGGGUUAGCUAACCCCACCUAACCCCACCUCAAAUAAAUUAUCCCGGGUUAGCUAACCCCACCUAACCCCACCAAACUCCAACCAAACACUAUUUUCUAUUCAUAAUAACCCACUAUCUUUCUUAUCACACCUACUCCAACCAAUCAUUAUCCUUCUUUAUCAAUCAUUAUCUUCUUAUNCCUACUCCAACCAAUCAUUAUCCUUCUUUAUCAAUCAUUAUCUUCUUAUCCCACCUACCCAACCAAACACUAUUUUUCAUUAUUCUAGACUAACUCCAACCCCCAACCAAACACAAAAAAACUUUAACCCCACUUUAACCCUGAACUUAACUCUAUUCCUGGAAUAGCUACUUUUUCCUUAACCCCGAACCAAACGGAGGCAAUGAGUUGGCACACUAUAACUUAGUGAUAUAAGUGCUUAAUUAAAUUUCGUGAUAACUUUUUUCUUAGAACCUCUAACAUUAGAAGUAACGAACAUUAUGUUCUGACUCAAAACUUUGAAGUUGAUGUGCGAUUUUCAAAAUGCGCUAUAGUUCAGGUGGCGCCUAUAUACAUAUUGUUUUACCCUUUUUGUUUUGGCUUUUGAUCCAUUUGCUCAACUAAGCUUCCUCACAUCUCUUAUCUCUGUUGAAUAUCAGGUACAUAUAUGCCGAUCUCUAUGGAACCAUCUGGACAGGUUUAGAGACCCCCGAAGCGAGCGGAAACUAUACUAGCACAUUGAUUCCCUACAGCUGCUCCAAGAACUCUCCUAUUGCCUGUGACAUUGUGGCCGGAAGCACCUCUCCGUCACUAGGCUAUAUUUUCUCAUUUGCGGAGGAUAACCAGAAAGAUAUUUACCUCUUAACAGGCAAAGGCGUCUAUAGAGUUGUUCCGCCAAGCCUUUGCAACUACACUUGCUCGAAGGAGAUCAUCCCAGUAUCGCCCCCCGGUCCCCCGUCAUCGGGGUCGAAGCUAGAGAGUUUUUUGGGAGAAGUUUUGAUUUCUAUGUUGGCAUAUUUCGUGUUUUUGCUGAGCUUUUGCUUCUAAAUGAUUUUAGGAAGCAACUGUAUGGCAAUAACUUUGCAUUAUUAAUGGAAUGGUUAACGUCGAUUUAGGCAUUUGGUGCCAAUAUAUCUUCUUCUCUUCUUGAGAGAGAGAAAGAUAGCAUGUUAUCCGCUUUAUUUAUUUUAUUUUAAAAAAAAGAUUAGCCGGAAAUAUGAAUCAACUAUAAUUUGAUCUUGGGACCUUGGAUAUCAACCACCAAGCCGUUUGCCACUUGCACUAGAAACGUUCGGUAGGAUAUGUUAUUUUUGAGAUGUUGUUUUUGUUGUUACAUUUUUUUUUUUUGUGUCUUAACUUCAGAUUUUUUUUUCUUUUAAUAAUGGAUUUUUUUUUUUUCCUUCAUGAUGUUAGUUGCAUUUGCCAUAAAGUUUUAGCAUUAUUCUUCCAUAAUAUUUUAUGAGACAAGUCUAAUGCCAUAUUGAGAAUCAAAAUUAGAGAAAAAAAAAAUUAGAGAAGGCAUUAGACAAUUGUAGGGUGAGAGGGAUUUGACUAGAUAAUUCUUUAAUAAUCAUGUGAAUUUCUAACUUGAGUUUAGAAAAAAUAUGAAAAGUUCCUAAAUUUGAAACCUUUUAGUAGUCAAAAAGGAUAACUUUUACUAUUCUUGAAAAUAAAGAAUAUCAUGGUAUAAAUUAGAACAAUUAUAAAUUUAUGACGCUUCAUUUGAAUGGAGAGAAAAUAAGAAAAAAGAACAUAAAGAAAGACAAUGGUUUGUCACGGUCUUAGCAUUUUUGUUUGCAAAGUCCGUGCGGCGCCCACCUUUCUUCGCAGAGAUUGACAAGUCUUUGUCCCUGUUGCUAGCUUGGACCUUCGCGUCCUACGACUAAAUAUGCAAAGAGAAUGAGAGAAAGAGAGAGGUAAAGGUUCACUCAAAAAUUAAGUACUCCACUACUUAGAAAAAUAGAUUACAACACACAUACACACUCCCUCUUGUGUAUUUUGGCCUUAGCCAAACCCCAAUAUUUAUAGGCCUAAUGAUACAAUGAAUCUAGCCACACACUUACCCACUAUCUCAUACAAUAAUGAGCCCUCAUAAAUGCUAGGUGAUCUCAAGAGUUACCCAUAUCCCUUGAGUUUCCUCAAGCAAUUAUGAGGUAUUAAUUGCAGCAGUUACAUGUCCCCUCAUCUCCCAUCAAAGACUGCUGGUUUUUGGCCUCCUUAACAAUUCGCUCCGCUAGCAAAGUUAGGCCAAGAACUUAGAUUGCAUAGCAAUUUCGCUAUCCCUGACAGGUUGCUCUUGCUUGAAUUGAAAUUUGAGGAGAAAAAAAAAAAAAAUCCUUCAUUUUUUUUUUAAUAUAUUCUAUCCAAAGAAGCAUAAUUGCCAAAUUUGGUAAUUGCUAAAUUUUGGUUAAUUGCAUAUGUGUCCCUACAAAAUAAUAAAAUGGUGUAUUUAUACCUAUAUAAUUUUACAUUGUAACUCUACAAAGUGUUAGUUGUGAAAAAUAUCCCUCCAAGUAACAUAAUUUGCAAAUAUGUCCUUCUGCCUUAAUUAACCAGUUACGAUCAACUUUUCUUCAACAAAAUAACCAUUUUACCCUUAAAUAAAUAUUAUUUUAUUUAUAUUUAACAGUAGUUGUUAUUUCUAAUUUUCUUAUUUUUGUUUUCAUGUUAUUUUAUGUAAACCACAAAUAUAUAAUAAAUAAAAAUUAACUUUUAUAAGGGUAUAGCAGUCCAAACGGUGACAAUUCAACAGUCAACCAACAACAGUCCACCUGUAUAGGUAAAUUUGCGUAUUUUGAGAUUUUAGAGAGUAUAUUUGAUAACUAAAUCUUCACAGCGAGACAAUGAUAUUUUGUAGGGUUAAAAGUACAAUUUUGUAGCUUUGUAGGGACACAUAUGCAAUUAAACAAUUAGCCCUAAAAUUUUAUGACCCGACGUGACCCACUGAUCGGUUAGGUUGGUCGGGUUGGGCCUAAACGCAAACGCAAGUUGCAGCCCUAAUUCUGACUAGGGAUAAAUUUUAUCUAAACCUAAACCUGAACGGAGUGGAUUUAGAAUAUAGUUUCUGAUAUGUAUAUAUAAAAAAUAAAAGAUUAAUUUUAUACAAAUCAUUGCAAAUAUAAUGAAUUGUAAAUAUAUUUCUAUAAAAUAAAAUUCAACUUUUAUAUGUUGUCUCUACAAAAGUCAUAGGACAUGUUUGGUUCGCUUGUUUUUCACCGUGGAAUCGGAAUUGGAAUAGGUGAAUCCGUUUGUAGGUGUUUGGUAUGCGGGAGUCCCAUUCCGAUUCUGAUUUUCGAGUGAAAUGAGAAUCCCCCAAUCACCUUUUUUUUUUUUUCCAAUCCGGCCUAGGGAGCUGAAUUAGAAGUUGAAUCCGGACGGAAUAGACAUUUAUUCGGAUUAAAUUUAUUUUUUCAACUUUUUUACUUAAAAUAUGAGUUUAAAUUUAGAAUUAAAUUUAUAAUUUUAAAUUUUAAUUUUAAUUUUAAUUAAAAAUUAAAAUUUAUUCAAGUAUUUUGAAUUUAACUUAUAAAUUUGAAUUUAAAUUAAAUUUAUGGAUUCAAAUUAAAUUUUAAAUUGUAAUUUUAAAUAAAUUGAAAUUUAGUUUUAUAUUUUGAAUUAUCCACUUAACUCAAAGUUUAUUGUUUUUUUUAAAAAAAAUCGAUUUAAAAUUUUGACAUUAUUUUAAAAUUUUGAUGUAAAUUUUUAAUAUUUAAUUUUCAAUUUAAAUUUAAAUUAAUAUAUUAUAAAAAUAAAGUUAGUAUAUUAAUUUGAUUACGUUUUUUAGGGUUAUUUGCAUACACGUCCCUGCAAACAUAGUAAAUUGCAGAUACAUUCCUGCAAAACGAAAAUUCUAUAAGUUGUCCCUGCAAAAGUCCUAAGUUAUGCAGAUAUAUUUCUCUGAUUAACAUCUGUUAGUGAACUAUUUAUUUUUUAACAGUGGAUUCGUAAAAUGACCUUUUCGCCCUUAUAAAUAUAUCCCUCCAAGGGUGCGUUUGGUUCGAGUUAUCCUGGCAAGAUUACAGGCAAUCCUGCCAGGAUAACUAUGUUUGGUUAAUCCGCUAUGUAAUCUAGUCGUUAAUGUAGGAUUACAAAUCGAGCAGGAUUACAUCGAAAAUAUUAACGGGAGGGGGGUCGUGUAUCUUGCAUUACUGAAACCCGUUAAUACUACAUAUUAUGUAAAAUGAUAAUUUUACCCUCCAACAACCCCAAAUCUAAUUAACAGCAUUAUUUUCAUCUCUCUCUCGCCUUCCCCCUGGCCCUCUCUCUCGCACGCCGCUUUCUCUCGCUCUCUCUCACUCGACGUCUCUCUCUCUCUCUCUCUCUCUCUCUCUCUCUCUCUCGCAUGAACACCUAUCAUCUUCUAUUGCGUCAUCCUCCCAAGUAAUCAUCACGAUCUCCUUCCCUCCAUUCGUCAUUUUUGCAAAAAAUAAUAUUUAAAUGACCACAACAAGGGUAAUUUUGAAAAAAACUAUACUUUUAUGUCAGGAUUACUAAAUUUUAUAAACUGAACCAAACAUAUUAAUGCUAUAAACACUGUAAUCUACUAUUACAUUACUGUAUUAAACCAAACGCUCUAAUGCAGCAUUAGUAGUAAUCUCACGCCGAAAUCCAAGAUACCUGGAUAUGUCGAGAUACUUUGUAAUAUUACAUAACUUGAACCAAACGGGCCCCAAAAGUAUCCCUCUUCUCCUUCUCUUUCUCUUCCUCUUCGGGCCGUCGGAGCGAAUGGCGGCAGUGGCGCGGGGUUGGGUUCGCCGGCGACGAAGAAGAGGGAAGAGAAAGAAGGAGAGGAAGAAGAAGAGGGAAGAGGAAGAAUGAGAGGAAUAAGGAGAGGAAGAGGGAGAGGGUUUGCCGUCGCCGCCGCCGCGCUCCCUCCCCGGCGACGAAGAAGAGGAAAGAGGAAGAGGGAGAGGAAGAAGAAGGGGGAAGAGGAAAGGGGAGAGGGUUCGCUGCUACCGCCGCAUCUCCUCCCUCGCUGGCCACGAAGAAGAGGGAAGAGGAAGAGGAGGAAGAGGAAGAAGGGUAAAUCCGUCAAUUCACAUUAUAAUUAAUCAUGGUUAAGUAUUUUAAUCGUAGUUAACGAAAAUUUUCUAACAGAUCUUAACGACAGGAAUAUAUCUGCAUAACUUAGGACUUUUGUAAAGAAAACUUAUGAAAUUUUCGUUUUGCAGGAAUAUAUCUGCAAUUCACUAUGUUUGCAAGGACGUGUAUGCAAAUAACCCACGUUUUUUAUAUCUACUUGAACCAAACACCGACAAUGAGAAUGAUUUAUUCUGAUUCCAAUUCAUAUAACGAACCAAACAAAAUUAAGUAAUGAGUCAUUCUGAUUCCGAUUCCGAUUCCAGCUUAUUUCGAUUUUGAUUCUGAUUCCGAUUCCGAUUCAAAUAACGAACCAAACAAAAUUAAGUAAUGAGUCAUUCCGAUUCUGAUUCCAGCUUAUUUCGAUUCCGAUUCUGAUUCUAAUUCCAACUUUGAACCAAACGCGCCCAAAUAUUUUCAAAUAUAUCUCUCUAAUUUGUUACCGUUAAAGUACUAUUUAUUUUAUAAGUGAAAUGACCUUUUUCCCAUCCAACUGUUAAUUGAAGAGAGAUAAAAAGGUUAAUUCACCUCAUUAACUAAUUAGAAUUAAGUAUUUUAUUUAUGAUUAACUUAUUUUUUCAAACGAAUCUUCAUGAAAGAAUUUUUUGAACUUUAUAAAGAUAUAUUUACAAUUCAUUAUAUUUAUAUAGAUCUGUAUGAAAUUAAUCAAAAAAUAAAGAUUUUGAAUUUGAAUAUGAAUUUGACCAUACCCAACUCAAACCUGAGCCCGACCCGAACUAGAAUUAAUUUUUCAUUAUAUAUAUAUUUGAUAUUAUCUUUAAGUUUAUAUUUUAAGAAAUUAAAUUUAACAUAAUAUAUUUUCAAAUAUUAUAAAAAAAUAAUUAUUUUAUGUUCAAAUUUUCGGAUUCGAAUUUCAGAUUUUCAUAUUCAUAUCCGAAUCCGACCCGUUCGCGUUCCUAAGUCCUAACUCUGACGGGUCUCCACUCUCCGCACAAGUUUUAACCUAAUUGAGGGUUUGCUACGAUUUAAAAAGUAGAAAGGACGGUACGGCUCCGCUUCUCACACGAUUCUCUCUUCCCGUUACCGCGCCGCUAUGGGAGCUGCGACCGUGGACGCCACCAUGGAGGCGAAGGUGAGGAAGAGGGGGAAGAGGAAGAAGAAAGCCUCCUCCGCCGCCGCCGCCACCCAAGCCGACGCCACCACCCUCGACAAUGGCGCCGUAGUCGUUGGAGAAGAAGAGGAGCGCCACGAAGAUGGGGAGAAGGAGAACAACGGCCGAGGCGACGCCGAAGGCGAGGAAGAAGAGGGAGGAGACGAAGAGGGAGCCCCCGAGGCGAAGAAGCCGAAGGUGGAGGAGGAGGUGGAGAAGAAGAGGAAGAAAGGUGGCUUGGGGAUUAUGACCUCUCAACCCUUCUCCGACCUCCCCAUCUCCGAGCUCACCAUGAAGGCGAUCAACGAGAUGGGGUUUGUUAACAUGACCCAGGUCGGUAUCCCUCGUCGCUCUUUUCUAGGGUUAGGGUUUUCGGAGUGUUCUUGCUGGACUUGCAAAGAUAGGAUUUUUGAUGGGGUGUUUGGGUUUUGAGUUUUGGGAUAGAACUACGUGCUUAAAAAUUAUAAAAAAAAAAAAUCCUUUCUAUAUGUGAUGGAAUUGCCAAAUUGCCAAAUUAGGGUUUUGAUGGGUGGUUUGGAUUUUGGGAAUAGAGCUGAUGCAUUGGUUAAAAAAUCGUUUCUUUGUUUGAUGGAGUUGCGAUAUUAGGAUUUGGGGUCUAUGAUGGGGUUUUUGGGUUUUGGGAGUAGACCUACUUCAUUGGUGAAAAGAAUCGUUACUUUGUAUGAUGGAGUUGGAAAGCUAGGGUUUUGAUGGGGUUUUUGGAUUUAGGUAGUAGACCUCCUUUUUGUGAUUGAGUUGCGAAACUAGUGUUUUUGAUAUGGGCUUCGAUCGUUGUUUUGCAGAUUCAAGCUAGGGCUAUACCCCAUCUGAUGGAGGGGAAAGAUGUCAUGGGGGCUGCGAGAACUGGUUCGGGGAAGACUCUGGCUUUCUUGAUACCAGCUGUGGAGUUGCUGUAUCAUGCUCAUUUCACUUCUAGGAAUGGAGCUGGAGUAAUUAUCGUUUGUCCAACGAGAGAGCUCGCUAUUCAGGUGAGAUUCUUGUUAAUUUAUCUCUAUAUCUUGCUGGUGCAAAAUUAUUAGAUCUGUAAUCCCUUUUUCACUCGAGAGUAAGGUGUUGCAUUGCCUGGAUUCUGGUGCAUAGAGUUAUUAUAAAUGCUAAACUUUGUCUGCAUUGUAGACUCAUGCUGUCGCAAAGGAUCUUUUGAAGUAUCACUCGCAAACUCUUGGAUUAGUUAUGGGUGGUAAUAAUCGGCGAGGUGAAGCAGAGCAUCUUGCAAAGGGAGUUAAUAUAUUAGUAGCUACACCUGGAAGACUUUUGGACCAUCUUCAGAAUACAAAGGGUUUUAUAUAUAGAAGAUUACAGGUAAUGAAAGUACAGUACUUUGCUGUUAAAUAUGAGCUUCUAAUGAACUUGUUUUUCCUUUUGUCUUUUUGACGGUGGCAUCAUGAUUUUCUGAAGUGUUGAUUUCUCCCCAGUAAGUGAAACCUCGAUAUUUAACAGAUGACUGAUGGUUUCGGUGAAGAAAAUCUAUGCCAUUGAUAGUUUUAUCUUCUGUGAGUUCAUCCUUCUAGAUGUUAAAAGUCAACUUCCCCAAUGCAAGUAGCAAGUGAAUAAAGUGAACUAUCAAUCUUGAUCUACUCUUUUUUUUUUUUUCCUUGUGUCUCCAUCAAUUUUGUGUAAUCUGAGAGGUAGCACUAAAAUAUAUUUCUGGUCAUAUAAUAAAACGUACCUACUAUUAAUGUAGAAUCUUACUGUUACAUAUGAGAAUGCAAAGCUGCACAAAACCUUGUGCACACUGACACGUUUUAUUUUUUCGCAAGGUGAAUAUGUGUGCUUAUGAUUUUCAAUGGUAUUUGUUCAUUUAUUCUGGGAAGUUACUAAAUAUUUGUGAUCCUUUCCUUUAUAGUGCCUUAUUAUUGAUGAAGCAGAUCGAAUAUUAGAAGAGAACUUUGAGGAAGAUAUGAAGCAAAUAUUUAAGCGCCUUCCAGAGGUAUGUUUUUUUUUUUUUUUGGUGUAACUUGAGCUAGUUUAUUUAGCAGUUCCUGUGAACAGCUGGAAUCCAUAAACUGUGUUCGCUUAUUUUGUGCCUAACACGUAGGUUUUGUUCUGAUUUGGGCUUGGGAUUGAAGCCUUUUGGCCAAGCCCCCUAAUCUAUCCUAUUCAAACUAUUUUUGGCUUAUGUAAUGCUUAUCUUAUGUUGCAAAAGGAUCCAACCAAACUUGGGCCUCCAUUCCCUGUCAACAUAAAAUCCCAGCUUGUGUCUGGCCAGAUAAAUAUUUGAGUUUUUCUGCUUCACCUUGAAUGUUCUGUUGUGGUAAUCAUGCCUAGUUUUUAUUCUUUUGAGUUGUAUCAGUCAUGUCAGUGAGGAGAACACUGCACCUCAUACCCUGUCAUAUUCUCUAGGACAAGGGCAAAUAUUGUUGUGUUUCAUCACUAUCGGAAGUUCGAAAGUCUAGCCCUAAGGCUACCGAAGGGCUGAACACUAAAAAAAUUGGUACCCCAUACCUAUUUUUUCUAUGCCGUAUGGAGCCACUGUCGCGUCGUUAGCACGCUCUGCUUUCCCCCAACCCUUAUGGGCAUGAGGGAGCGUUAAGAGCAACUGCUGUAGUAUUGGCCUCCUUAGCUGCAUGAGCUGGAGGCAUGCCAACCAACUUUCAGCCGUUAAUGCCGCCUGUACAGUUUUUUUCUUUGUGUUGUAUCUUUUGGUGACUGAAUGGAAAAGAAGGCCAAAAGUGAUAAAGAAGAUGCAUGAUGCAAACAAAAACCAAUGUACAUAUCUUGGAAUACUUAACUAGAUUAUUUCCUACAUGUGGAUCAGCAAUCUAUGAAAGUAAACCUGCAUGCAGCACCAUAUGUAUCAAAGUGAGACCAUAGAAAGUUUCUUUGAAAAAUCCUGGGUAUUCUGCAUCUCCAUGGGAGAUUACCUAUAGGCUAGUCCUAUUAAAAAAUGCUCGUCUAACAUAUAAAUGGUGACUUGCCAUAGUUAAUCAAGAAUGCACCCUUAUUGAGAUUUAUCAAAUCAUAUACAGUUUGAUUUUUUUAUGCUACGCUACUGUGAGUAAAUUUACCUAUGGGGAGGCUAUAUAAGAUGCUUGAUUUGUAUACUAUUAUCUAGUGAGGCUUUUCAAUUUAAUAUCAUUCUUUUCUUUUUCUGUCACCUAGUCCAUAUGGGAAUUCAUCUUCUGAUGUUAUUCCUUGUUGAUCAUAAUGUAAUCUCCUCUUUUCAUCCAUGUAUUAUGACUUCCACAGUAGCAGAUUGGUAGCAGAAUCUUUUAGAAAAAUAUAUACAUCUAAUACCACCUGUAGAAAGCAUUCAAUUUUGAUAUGUAUGACAUAAUUCUUAUUCUUUGCAGUUAUCGUAUAUGAUGCUAUCAUCUUAUGUGCAUUACAUCAGUAUUGGCUCUUUCAAAAUUGAUUUUCUAUGUAAUUUCUUAUGAGUUGAUUUCAAUUUUGAUGCGCAGGAUAGGCAAACAGUUCUUUUUUCUGCCACCCAGACUAAGCAGGUAUGUGUUAUUUCUACAUCUUGCAUUUUUUUUUUAACUGUCUUUUGGUUGACAGUUUAUUUUUCUUACAAAUUCUGCACUUCCUCAGGUUGAAGAUUUUGCUCGGUUGUCCUUCAAGAAUAGGGAAGGAAAAGAUAAACCAGUAUCUAUUGGAGUUGAUGAUGGGAGAUCAAAGGUGAGGAAAAAGAUAAAAACAGCUAGUGUCCCAGACUGCUAUUAUUUUCUAACCUUCUGUUCCGUUAAAGUGGUAGUGACAAGUUGGAUAGUGCAGGUGACUGUUGAAGGGUUGCAGCAAGGCUAUUGUGUCAUCCCAAGCAACAAGAGGUUCUUGGUUUUGCAUGCAUUCCUAAAGAGGAAUCUCUCUAAAAAGAUCAUGGUCUUCUUUUCGUCCUGUAACUCCGUGAAGUUCCACGCAGAACUUUUGAGAUACAUUCAAGUUGAUUGUCUAGACAUACAUGGGAAGCAAAAGCAGCAGAAACGGACCACAACCUUUUUUGACUUCUGCAAGGCUGAGAAAGGAAUCUUGUUAUGUACUGAUGUUGCAGCUCGUGGACUUGAUAUUCCUGCAGUGGUUAGUCUCGGACUAUUUUUCAAAAGAAAAACACCCUUUAGUUUUGCUAUUAUAUCUCUUAUUUAAAAAAGCAGCUUUGAAGGAUAGCAUCUUUUUGUGAACCAAAAUGUUCCUGGCUGGAAUCUCUGAUGCCUAGUCAUCAUGAGGAGUGCUAUGGGUAUUUCAGUCCAUAAAGGUUAGAUGUAGGUUCCAAAUUGCAAAAAUAGAAAGUAGUGAAUACUGUCUGGAAUCUCUGAUGCCUAUUCAUCAUGAGUGCUAUGGGUAUUUCAGUCCAUAAAGGUAGAUUUAGGUUCCAAAUUGCAGAAAUAGAAAAAAGUGAAUAGGGACUACGUAUUCAAAUAAAUGGUGCUUUACUUUUGCAAGAGACGCAGUUUCAGUUAACUUGUGUUUCUCCCAUUCUUCCUUUUUCUAUUUUCUCAAUAGGUUUACUCCUUUUUGUAGGACUGGAUUGUGCAGUAUGACCCCCCUGAUGAACCAAAGGUUAGCUCAGCUGAAUUUUCUUGGAAUUUAUUUAAUGUAAUGUUAUUCCUUUUUGCUUCAACUUCUAAAUUUGUUCGAGUUUCUGCAGGAGUACAUCCAUAGAGUGGGCCGAACAGCUCGUGGGGAAGGUGGAAAAGGACAUGCCUUGUUGUUUUUGUUGCCAGAGGAAUUAAAGUUUCUUAGUUAUUUGAAGGUAUUGAAUUUCCUUUCCACAAAGAUCUAAUUAUCAUGUAAUUAGGAUCUUUGAACAUUAGAUAACUUAUUUAGUCGAUGGUUGCUGGCAGGAAGCUAAAGUUCCUCUGAAAGAAUACGAGUUCAACGAGAAGAAGGUGCCAAAUUUGCAGCCACACCUGGUACAUAUUCUGGUUGCUUAUCUAUGGAGUUUUUUCUCCUAGACUUGUAGAUAUUUUCUGGGAACUAACUUUUGAAGGUAUCAUGCAGGAAAAGAUUAUAGGAGAGAACUACUAUCUGAAUCAGUCGGCUAAAGAUGCAUAUAGAUCCUACAUUCUUGCAUACAACUCGCACUCAAUGAAGCAGAUCUUCAACGUGCACCACCUAAAUCUCAAGGUACUGAAUCAAACUUUGUGCUUACUAGUUCACUGCAUGUAAUGCCUUACAAGAUUAUGCAGGUUCUUACAAAAUAUAAAGCUAGUAACUGAUGGAAGUGAAUUGCCGCUGUAAACUACUAUUUUAUUUAUCUCACUAGGUUACUUGUUACAAACUACUAUUUAUAAACCAGUUGUAGUCUUAUCCUAGUAAUUAUGACUGUCACAACUUCAAAAUUUGAGAAAGCUCCUUUCAAGUGUUGUUUCUUAUUUAUGUGUCAACUUCUUUUUCCCCCCUAAUUUUCCUAAGGCUAACUAAAAUUUACUGUUAUAUAACAGGAUGUUGCAGCAUCCUUCUGUUUUAGUAAUCCUCCGAAGGUAAAUCUAGAUUUGGAGAGCAGCGCGUCCAAAUUUAGAAAGAAGAUGCGGAAAGUCGAGGGACGUCGGCAUGGAAUAAGUGCCUCCAAUCCCUAUGGAAGACAGGGUGGUGAUGACAAGAGGCAGUUUACAAGAUUUUAAUCAAAUAUACUUCAUUUGAGAUGAUUCAAUUCACUUCAUCAUUAGUGCAAGGCAACUUAUGCGCUAUGUCCGCUUCGGAGUAAAUGAUUGGUUCCAGUAUAUUUAAAGCAUUGUACCAUCCUCUUCAACAAAGUAGGCUAGAACACUUCAUGCUGUUUAUAUGGUGAGAUAAAGACUUCAGAGAAAGGUCAUCAAAGAGACAUGUUAGUUGGAAGACAGCUGAACGUGUUAUACGCGGCAGAAUUUUGUAGCUCUACUACCUACCAUAUAUUUUGCUAUUGUUAGUUGAGAAAAGAAAAGGUUGUUUCUUUUUGAGCUUAUUUACUUUGUUAUGCGUGAUAGUGGGAAGUUAAGGUAUUACUCUGUAUUUUCAAACUUUGUCGUGUGUUAUCAUGCUGUUACUAAAAGGAUAUAGCAGUUUGACAAUUUAUACAUUGUAGCUCGGAUUCGACUGAUCUAUUCUUGAGUGAGAUGCAUCAAUAGCUAUGGAUGUUCAACAAUCUUCUUUUUUUUACAGAUUGAAUUUGGUUUGUAAAACAAACAUAAAAUUCUGGAUGCUCCUCUUUUUGGUUGUUUUGGCUGCUUGGUGCAUAGUUUGCGAGUUUGUCUGACCUGAUUAUACUGCGUGUUGCAGUGCAGUGUAGUCGGUGCAGCUUUAGUUUUUGUUCAGGCUUGUAGUGAUGUGGCGUCCAGGCGCAGCAGGCUCUUGUACAGGCUGAUUGGAGUGAAGUUAGUCGAGUAUUAAACUUUUUGAGUGUAUGCUGUGUUCAUAAGAUUGAUAUCAUUGAACUAUAUAUUCUUGUUAGUUAGAUCUCACUGAAUAAUACUUGUCAUUAUUUGAUUACUCAAUCUUAUGGUGAGUUGUUGGGAUAGGUUAGAAUCAUGCCUGAGCAAAUUUGGACUGAUCCCUCUCAUGGAGAUGUUGAAGAAAUUUGCUCUUGUGGUAGUUGAAUUUGAUGGCAAAUCUAAAAUAUUGAACUAGCUUAUCGACAUAUUUUAGUGAUUUAGUGAUCGAGUAGUCUUAAAAUUAGAUAAUUUGGGCGAUCAACUUGAGUCAUUUUCAGAGUUGGAACUUCCUGGCUUUUCGAUAAAAAUAAUUUUCACUUUCUAGAUUAAGACCUAUAAUUCUUGUAAACAAUUUUAUUAUUCUAAGAUUUUAAGCUGUUAGGUACAUGCUAGGAUUCUAAUUUAUAUCUAAUACAAAACUAAAACUCUAAUGUGCUCGCUUGGCAUGUAUUAGGGCCUCUAACAUGUGAAAUGAAUCAAAAAUGAAGAAUAUUAAUAGAAUUAAGGGGCAAUUUCUUAUAUACCUCUGAAAAGUUUCCGAUUUUUCGAUUUACUCCUCUUAGAAGGCUAAUAUUGAAAAUACCCCUCCUACGUUCCAACCUAUUUCUAAUAUACCCUUAGAGUUAAAAUCUGUUAAGUAACACUGUUAUCUCUGUAAAAUUACUCUUUUACCCUUUUCAAAUAUACCCUUCCACCAUCAUUGUCUUUCUUAUUUGCCCUUAAAGUCAGGGGCACAAAAAGUAUUUCAACUUUUUGUCUUUUCCAAUAUACCCCUCUACCGUAACCAACCUUUCUUAUUUGCACUUAAGAUAAGGGCAAAAUUGGCAUUUUAAUUUUUUUUAACUGUGGUAGAUAUUUAACUCACGUUUAACUCAGGUUAACUUAACAGGAGAUAACUGCGAGGGUAUUUUGCAAUAACGGUGGAACAUAUGAGGGGCAUUUUAGAAAGAAGAAAAAAGUAGGGGUAGAUCGGAUAUUUCCAGACGCAUGAGGGGUAUAUAGGCAAUUAUCCCUAGAAUUUAAUUACCUAAGAAAUUAAGACUCCUCCAUGCAACAAAUUACCAACAGUUCUCUCUCUGUCGGCCCUGCGCAGAUUCUACAGACAAAGAAAAACAUAAAAAGAAUAUGUACACUGACUUAAAAGUAAUUAUACAUAUGUAUGAACUCAUAGUGAGCUUAAAUCUCAUAUAUAUUCUGUAUACAUUUUGGAACAUGAAGCAGAUUCAGGAACCUAACUGCACAAACAAACCUCCAACACCUUCGGAUCCUGCAAAAAUAGCCCGGGGUUUCGGAACAUGAGUUAGAUUCUGAAACAUAUUUAAUCAUGCUUCGGAACAUGGCAUCUAGUCACCGGUAUCUUCGAGGCUUGGUUGUAGAAUCGACUUGAAACGUGGCUUGACCUUGAUCCAAUAUUCUUUAACCUUUUACUAAUCAAAGCUGUAAUGAGUUCUUAAUCUUUUAUUGUUGAAAUUAAGAUUUAUAACCUUUUAUCCAAGUUUCAAUCGAGUCACUAACCUUCUAAAAGUUGCAUUUAGGUCCUUAACCUUGUACCCAAGUAUCAGUUAAGUCCUAAUCUUUUACUCAGUGCAACAACAAUAUAGCAUACAUAAAUCUUGAACUGUAAUUUCUUGUAAAUCCUUUUUAUGGACUUUUAUCUGCUGUUACUUUUAAAAAUUAUUUUUUAAAAAUAUAUACUUUUAUAUAAAAUCCUUAAAUAUUGUCUAACAUAUAUACAAGAUUAAAUUUUAAUCUCAUUAACCAUAAAAUCUAUGGUGCGUAAAAUGUUUAUACGUAAGAAGAAAAAAGAAAGUGUAUAAACUUAAAAAUAAAAUUAUUUUUCGAGACCUAAUCCACUAUGUUAGAGCUUUGGCAAGUUGGUGUUGCAAAUUUUGUCUGACAUAGCAGACAUUUUUAUGAAAAAAACAAAAAAAUCUGAUUUGAGAAUUUCUCAGAUAUGAAUUCAUUAGAAAUUAGGGUUUUUUUUUUCAGGUUUUCCAGAGAUGUAAGUUGACCCACCAAUUCUUUUUUUUUUUUUUUGGUUCCUAGUUUUAAGUUACUUUUAUAGUUAAAUAUAAACUAUUUUUAUUACCAACAAGUUAGGUGUAAGUUGAUUCAUCAAGUAGACUAUUUUUGUUUCAAAUUAGACGUUACAUAGUUGAGGACUCAUUCGAAGCAAUACAUUUUAAAAACAAUUUAGAUACAACUCUUAUAAUAGACAAGUAGUAUGUACUAUGCACAAAGAAAAAAGGAUUAAUUUUGGGUUAUUUAUAUUAUUGGUAAUUAUAAAUGAGAAAGGGUCAUUUCAUCAGCCAACCAAUUUUAUUAUCUUUUACCCUCAACUCUUUUCAAAGUGUAAGAAACAGGGUUAUGCGUGCAUGUUUCACAAAUGCAGUAUAAGAAAGCAUAAAUCAAGAGCAAACACCCUAGCACAAUUUACUUGUGUUAGUAUUUAUUUAAUUUUUAAAGUGAUUUAAAACUUUCUUUUAGUUCAUGAAUUUCUUGGACAGUAAAAUAUUCUAUGAACCUUAUCUGAGAGCCCGUGUAUAAGUUUCUACAUGUGAGUUUAGUCCCACAUUGAAAACUCAUGACGUGUCGUUGCACCUUAUAUAUUCUAUCAUCUUCAAGUUUCCUGCUUGGGUGAGAAUGAGAAUAGUGCUUCCCACAGAACACACACACCACCAUGAGCCCGGGGUUCGACAUACCUUAUUUUGUAUUUAUUUUUAGGAUUUCAUAGUUUGCCUUUGGUAACCCAAGUGCUACACCUCAGUAAGGUCCAACGGCUAAUCCGAGUAAAGAGCCGUUUGUCACGGCCUUAGCGUUUUUGUUCGCAAAGCCCAUGUGGCACCCACUUUCCUACUCGAAAAUGAACAAGCCUAGCCCUUUGUCGCUAUCCCGGAUCUUCGCGCCCUACGACUAAUUUAGUAUGCAAAAAGGAAAGAAUAGAGAGAUGCACAAGUUUCCAAAAAACUAAGUACUCCACUAUUUAGAAAAAUAGAAUUACAAUACACAACUCCUCUUAUGUUUUCACCUCUCUUCCUUCUUACUUUGGCCAUAGCCAUCCCCACAAUUUGUAGGCUCCUAGAUAUAAUGAAUCUAGCAUACACUACUCACAAUUAAACACACAUUAAAGCACAUAUUAACUCACCCACUAUCAUAUAGUAAUGAGCCCUCAUAAAUGUCUAAUGAUUAUAAGGUGAUCUCAAGAGUUGCCCAUGUCCCUUGGGUUUCCGCUGGCAGUUAUAAAGGCAUAAAUUGCAGCAGUUACAUACCCCUUCAUCUCCCAUGAAAGGUUGCCAGUUUUGGUGCCCCUUUGGCUGCCCACUUAGUAAAGUUCGGCCAGGGACUUGGCCGCGCUGAAAAAUUGCUAAGUCCCUGACACGUUGGACCCUACCUCCCAUUGGCCUCUCGUGGAGGCAAGUGUGACUGGUUCUUAUAUAGUUAUAUGUAUAUAGGAGAAGGUGUAGAUAGGCAUACAAAUUAAUUGAGAUAAUAUGAUAUGCUGGACUUAACAAAUAGAUAAGAUUGCAGUAUGAAAUUUUUAGUCAGCAUUUUUUUACAGUGCUUGACUAAGUUGGAGACGUUUUAGUGCGAAAUAGACGUACAUGCGGCUGGUUUGUUGAUGUAACCCGAGUUUUCACUAUAAUCUGGGCUGUGACAAAUAAUAUACCACUUUUUUCUAUACUUGCUGGAUCUCUGAAAGUUCAUUUGAUUCGAGUUGUACCAUCCUGAAGAUAUGCCGAUGGGGUGAACAGUGUCCUUGUAUCACUAAAGGUGAUUGCCGGAGCCUCGCAUGUGGAGGGCAAUCUAGCUUUUAGGACGGUACAUAGCACGCCUACAUUCAUAGGCCUCAUCUAAUCUUUUCUUCUGUAGUUGUUAAUUUUUGCGUGCAUCUUUUCAAAAUAGAAGUUUAAUUAAUUUUAUUUAAAAUUAUUUAAAAGAUAAUUUUACUACAAGAAUGAAGAGAUUUUUCCAAUAACUUGAUCAAGUGACAAACUCAUGUAAAUAAAGCAACCUAACUAUUUUUAAUACCACACCACGCCCCUCAAACAACUACAUGCAAAAAAGAGGCUAAACCAAGCGAUAAUAACUAAACACAUCUAUGCUCCUUUCAUUCAAGGACCAACAAGCCUUCGAUCGGCACUUAAUGAAGUCAACAUCAAAAAAGCUUAAAUCAAGAGUUGGGAAGGCAAAAUAUUGAAGAAGGUUUCAUGAUUUUCUAAGGCGCUUUUAACUUGUUUUUAACCUUUCAAAGUAUAAAAAUGGUGCUUAACAACUGCAUUAUUAAACUAAAACCAAGGGAGGCCAACUAAAAACUCAAUAAAAGACUAUGAAGAGAUAAUGGAGAAUGUUUCUAAAGUUGAGAAGAUGAUUCUCUAUCUCUAGGAAUUUGUACUCAUAUUAUGUUUAUGUGGUUUGUACAGAUUUCAUCUAUAACGCUACGUGGCCGUUUGGUUACGUGUAGUUGCAACUAUAUUGCAGAUGUAACCGUAUGUGAAGGCAAAUUCCAUAUUUGGUUUGACGUAUUUAACUCCAACUGCUGCAGUAGGAACUGCAGGAGGAGGUCCAACUGCAGCAGUUGGAAAGAGUAACUUUAAAUAAAAAGUAUGCUUACCUUCUUAGGCUUACUUUGGCAUUGAGGCCUAUCUAACGUUAUUAGAUAGAAUGGAGUUGAGAAAAAAACAUAUAGGGAUAUACUUCUGCGUUUUCCGGUGGGACCGCAGAAAAUAUAUUAUAACCAACUCAUCACGAUAUGCGGAACGUAAUAUUAAGUACGGAAACAAACAGGGUAUUUUUCCAAUAUACUUUCUCACCGCACGUAACGCAAUCUCCCCGCAAUAGCCUUAAUAUUUUUUAAACAAAAUUAUUUUUCUUUUUUACAUUGGUGGUAAUCUCAUUAUCAUAUAUAAUAUAUAAAAUAAUAAAAUUUUAAAAAUUAUUUCUCAACUGCAUGCAAUCAAAUAAGUUAUUUAUACUUACAGCAUUUUCUACUACAUCCAAACAAACAUGAUUCAUAUAAUUAUAACUAUUGUAUUUAUAACACCGACUGUCCUUAGAGCAAGUGGCAAAGGACUUGGUGAUUGGUACCCGAGACCUAAGUUCGAAUCCUAGUUGAUUCACAUUUCUAGCUAAGUUUAUUUCUAAAUGAAAUAAACGAAGCGGGUAGCGUGCUACCUGUCUUUCAAAAAAAAAUUUUAACUAUACUGUAUUUAUAAUUACAUCUAAUUAAACGGUCUCUAGGUGAAUUCACAAUUCUAAGUAACUCGUGGGGCCAAGUCCUUAAUUUUGGGGGUGGGACCUCCUUUCGAUUUUUAAUUUCGACCUGUAGGGCGGCCCGCCUUUUACUUAUAAGUAGUGGGUGUGGCUUGGCUUUGAAUUAAUGAGAGUUGAGAGUUGUUGGUGUACGAAAUAGAUUUUUAAUUUUUAGGGAAUAGGGCCGCCUUUAAAUUCAAUUUGAUUCCGCACAUAUUAGACCCGCCUUAGCUUGUUUGUUUGUGUCCACUGUAUGUAGGUUGUUCUGCAUUGAUGGCGCUUCAUUUCACCGGCGAGUACUGCGUAAUGGUGGGUUGGGAUAACAAAUUAAUAAUCCACGGACACUUCUCAUGUACUGCACAAACUUCCACACAGUUAUUUGCAACACCGAGAGGUUUCGCAACGCGGCUGUGAAUCACGACCUCCACUGCAUAACAUGGGGGCGUGCCGGCACAGCAAUCACUCUUAACUAUCUGGUGCCGGCAGGUCAGCACUGAUGAUCAACAAUAAAGCGCUGUUUGCCGACAAGUUUAGCGGAAAUGGUCCCCUGUUGGACGUGACUGAUGCCAAGCUCUUACUUUGUGCUGCGCAGGUAGUGCGACGAGAAAGGGGAGAAUGGCAGCAAUCCUAUCUUGGUUGUGGAUAACACUCUUAUAUCAAGAAGGAGAGGAAAUGGCACUAAAAGGAAUGGUUCAAGACGUGUAGCGAUGCUACUCUCCUUAAAACUUAAUUGAUCUCUGCCGUUCGACCAAACUAAUGUACACCGAAUUAACGAAUAGCUUCUUAAGAUACAAUGAAGCACAAAUCCUAACUAUAUCUGCAUAUGUGAAGUUGUAAUUUGAGUAUUCACUAGAUUAAGUUGUCGAAACAAGCAAAAUAAGAACAGAAAAUAAAUUAUUGUGAAUGGAGACUUCGGCUUAUUCAUGUGUUCUUGAACAAUCAUUAUUAUGGUUUUCUACAGACCACCAAAUUCACGCACAAACCAAUACUUUAUGCAGUAACCUUUCAAUUUGCAUCUAUCCCUUGGAUCGUAACUAUGAACCAGUUACAAGCGCCUCUUCAGCUGUUUGACUGAUGCAUUGAAGCCAAAUUCAAAUAUUUGUAACACUCAAAUUCAACAGAGACAUGUACGAAAUUCAAGAGAAACAUACACCAAGAGGCACCACCGAAAAAGAAAAGGACCAAAGGGCACAUCAUAAGGUUAUGUCUUCUCCGUUAAAAAUUAGGUCUUUUAUGUUUUUUCUCAGAAGAACGAAAAAACAAGAGCAAAAAUAAAAAUAAAAAAUAAACCAGUGCCGUUUAUACAGGCCGAUCCGCAAUAUCUGCUUAACCAGAGAACCAGAAUAGGCGAGAGCACACAAGUAAGCAUCAAACAAGCGCUCACAGUGACGACAAUAAGACCAAAAAAUUUUUUACUAAGAGAGCUUGAAUCAUGCCAAUGUAAGUCACACCCCCAAGCCAUUUGAAAACAAAACAUGCUCCUAAAAAAUAUCGAGUAAAUACGAAGCCGAGAAACACAAAUAAAAAGAACAAGUUUUUUUCGCUCUCGUAGACCAUGUUAAAGGUACAUCCGCAGCUACAUUUUUUGAACAGUAACGCCUAACUGAAAAGGGGUUGGCAGCAAUUCAACUCCCAGAAAUCUGGCUGUAAAAUCAGCAUAAAAGUGUAGUGUACAUCCAGAAUGUAAAAUAAGAUACAACCAAAUAAACAACUUCCUCCCCACCUCUAACACUGCAACCCACCCACCACUUCAAUCUGUAAGAUACCUGGGACCCAGUAUAAAGAAUCCGGCCCCAAUGUAUAUAAGAAGCUCGCCGCCAAGUUCAAUUUUCUCUGCCGCGCCCCUCCGCUAAUAACACGAUAGUAAUACAUUCCCUUCCGCCCCAGCCCACCUCUUUGAACACCCAUCAAAACCCUCAGAUCGGGACAGAGAGACUUCAUUAGGAAAUACUGAUGCAGAAGCCUUAGGGAAAUGCUUUAUACGUUGCCCAUGUCGUCGGUUUUUAUGUCUGUGCUAGGGCCGUCGUCGAAAGCGCUACCCGGGGCGAGCUCAUUCAAAUCUAAAAACCUUCUUUCCACACUGUUCCUCUCUUCGGCCGGGGCAUCGGUCUUCUCUUUUUCCUCCUGGUGCUGGAACUGCUGAUGCUGCUCGUCAACAUCAUCUGGGAAGCUCUGAAUUACUUUAACAUCUGUACGUACUUCUUCGCUCCCUUCGUCAUCUUCUUGAUCUUGGCUCGCCGUAGAAAGCUCCAUAUCAUCAGUGGCAUCCGAAUGGCCAUCCGAUUCAUUGGAUUUGCCUUUCUUUCCGGAAUCUGAUUGUUCCGUAUCCGACAGCUCGUAUUGCCGGUAGUUAACGCGGAGGCGGGUGGCCCUCUUGCUGCGCCUAAGGCCCGUCUGGAGCUCGUCGACCGACCUCAAUUUCGUUGCUCUCCUGCUUCGAGUUGGUAACUUCUUGUACCGGCGAUUAUCUUCUAAAUCUUCACUAGUGCUCAAAGAGUAUUCCUCUUCCUCUUCUUCUUCAUCAUCUUCGGCAUUUUCUCCCUCGCCGUUAUACUCCUCAUCAUCCUCGGAAGCACUUGAGACCUUCUGUUGCUUCCGGCUUCUAAGGUAUUCCUCGUCGUAAACGGCUUCACCUACUAUAUCAUCAUCACUGUCGAAGCCCGCAUCGAUAUCCGAAACAGCUUCGACAAAGUCCUCAGAGUACCUUUGAGGACGCUUUCUCCGCCGGUUGCUAAAAGUAUGAUACGACAAAUUAGAAAACAAUGGAUUUGGGUACAGAAUUAAUUAAAUGACGAUUGAUAUGAUACCUGCGAUCAAGAUGCUCAUCUUGUUCUCCGUCUGAUUCUUCAUAGUCAUUUGAUUUAGGCGAGGGUGCAUCAAAGGACUCAUGAGCUACUAGGGAUGGACCAUUUGGUUUACCGUUAGUUGAUCCUUCAGGUUUUGGCACUACUCUUCUAACAACAUUUUCUGGUGAGUUCUGCCUUUUCCUGAAAGAGAGCCACAGUAAUUGCAUUAUUCAGUAGUAGUUUCUUGAAUAGAGAGAUUCUAUUCAAUAAGAUUGAAUGAACAGGUAACAGAGUAUACAUACUUGGUUAUUUUUAUAGCCUCGUUAAUUGAACGGUCAUAAUCAUCUGCAAAAUUAUGUUAUGUCAGAUCUUUGAUAUUAAGGCGGCUAGCAAAAUAAAAGAGAAUAUAUUAUAGAUUAAUGUACAUUCUCCAUUACAAUUAAAAAAAUAGAAAAAACAAAAGGAAGAGUCAUGCUACUCCAAAAACUACCAAGAUUAAACAAUCAUAAGGUCAGUUAUUUCAGUCGUUGUUCCAUACAUCCAGUAUCUUGAAUUUGAUGUAAAUCGCUAACAAAACACUAAAGAGGACAAUUAUCCAAGAUAAGACAACUAAUGAGACCUCAAAGGAGAGACUAUCACUGCAAUAUAUUUUUGCACUAUAUUACUUCUGUACAAACCACUUGCACAAUCUUAUAACAAAGAAAAGGUACAAUGACAAAACAGUUUGUUAAUCUUACCAUGUUAACAAACUCUAUCCCAUGUGAAUGGAAGCCCAGUGUGUAAAAACCAACUAUCGCAUAGUAGGACCAGUUCUAUCAGUCAAUUAUACUAGGCCCAGAAUAAGCAAUGCAGGAAAUAAAUAGAACGACAAAUUUUUUACAGGACACUAUGGUACCAUGCCAAAGCACAAAGCACAAGCCCAACUCUCGGAUGCAUAGUUUCUGUAUACUCAAUAUUUCAUAUAGGCAAACAUUACACAAAAAGGCUGGAGAACUAUACGGCUAGCACAGCAAAACUUAAGCCUAGGACUUGAGGAGGAGAGGAUUAGGAAGGAAACACUAUAGAAACCCUCGAGUUUCACCAAAAAAAAAAAAAAUUAUAUAUCACUGCAUAAAUCAACUAAAAAUCUAAUGAAAGUGCUCAAAGUAUCUAAAGUCACUUGCGACAAGUACAAAUAGAAAAAGGUAGAACAAUAGGAGAAUAAAGGAGGCAUGUUGUGAUACAGAUAUGUAGAACAAGUAGAAAAAGGUAUAGCGAUUAUCUUAUCAGAAGAAACAGCAAAUGAGGACAGUCAGGGCUCCUAUUCUACAAUCAAUAACAUUUUGGACCAAUCAAUGAAGCAUACCGCUUGUCAUAGCUAAUUGAUAAAAAAAAAAAAAAUCACCGUCCAACUUAAAACUCUUACCGAAUGUAUACGUGACAGGUUUCCUAUCACGAAGGGAGCGACCUGAGGAAAGCCCAUCUGCCGUCAAAUAGCUGUCAAGAAGAAGGGCUUCCCUUUGUUGUUUUUUCAACAACCUUUCUUUCCUCUGAAUCAAUAGCAAAAUUUUCUUACAACAAUCAGAAAUGCACAGCGGUAGCUGUAAUUAAAGAAUUAAAAAUAAAUUAUUCAUGUUAUUCUGCAGCUGUUACUUAAGGGGGAAGAGUUAGAUACUUUGUGAAUCUUCUCAAUAUCGGGAAGAAAGUCGAUCUUCAACUUCUUCCCAAGUGACACUUCUGUCCUAUUCUUACUAGAAAAAAGUUUAUCCUGAACAAAAGAAAAAUAAGAAUGAGGAUUAAAAUUUGCUCUAACAGUUCCUCAACUAAGUAAUUGCACAGAAAAUGGACAAGCAGCUCAAUACUCGCAUCAAACCUAACAAAUAAUAACAAUAUACAAGCUCAAGAAGCACAUGAAAUUAUGUACCAUAUAUGUAAUAUUAAGUCUAUGAUGUGUGCUCAUUAUGGUACAAAGGAAAUAUAAAAAGUGAAUAACAUUCUACUCUAUAGCUCAGUGGUAAUAGCAUUUACAUUUAGGGCAUGUUUGGCACCUAGGGUUUGAUUGAAUAGAAUAAGACAAUAGGGUGAUGUUGGGGAAGGAGAGGAACAACUCGGAGGCAUCAAAGUCACGAGUAAUCUGGUUGGGUCAAAUAACACCAACAGGAUAAGAUUAUUCAAUCCACCUGCUAGGUUAAGAUUGAACAGGGUGGAUUGUUUUCCACCAGCUCCACCCCCUAGCUUUCAUGAUCCCCCAACGCAUCCGAGCCAAUAAGUGCUCCCUCUUCCCCAACAGUACAAUCUCAUCCCAUCCUAUCCGUUCCAAUCUGGAGUGUCAAAGAGGGCUUAAGCAUAAAACUGUAAUUCUUAAACAGUGUUCAGGAACCAUUCCGAAGUUAUACAUAUACAAGAAAAUAAUGCAAGCGAAAUAAAAUAUUGAGAAAUGCAAGCAUUUGCUAUUUUCAUUUGAAUGGUAAAACUAUGUAGAAUUUCCAAAUAACGACAAUGGUUGCUAUAUUAAAUAUACUGUUUAAACAACAACGAUGAAAGCUAGAAUUUCAAAGAUGCUAAUGACUACUCGCUCUUCAAUCACUUAGUACCAUUUAGCCAGUAAGACAUGGAUCUUCUUUAAGGAGAAGAAACUAGUCACAGAACUGGUUUAUAGAUGACUAAAUAAAGAGUAAAUAAUACGCGGCAUUGAACAUAAUUUUUUUAUUUAUUCAGUUACGUAAGCUACAAAGGAAAUACCUAAGUUAACUGUCAGAGUAAUAAUGACAAGUAUCAUUAAUUAAUGUAGAACUCAAGACGGACACUCUACAUAAAUAGAGAACUAACAUCAUCAGUAACAAUUCAAAGAUAUUAGCUAACAAAAGCAGCAUAAUUAAUGUAGAAACACACCGAAACUUCUUGAAAUUCAUCAAAGUUGGUUGCAACUGUUUCCCACCGAUAAGAUACAAGUGGACGGGAUGAAACUCCUUUUGCUUUCAACUUCUUUGCCUCAACAGAUCUGAUUUCACGGUAAAGUCGAUGACCAAUAAUUGGAUCAUCUUCAUACCUGUUUGACAUGACUAGAUAAACAUUCUUGACCAUAUAUAUCCAAUUUGAAAGUAUGAAGUACUUUGAAACUAGGGAAACACAAACAAGAACAAUGAGACUCUACCAGUAGGAAACUCCAUAGGCAUCGCCCCCUAUCCGCUCUUUACGAAAUGCCGAAAGAUGAGUACCAUGUUUUAAAGAAUCUUCAAUAUAAUUUCGAAUAUCUUCUUGCUGCAAAAUUUAUAUAUCUGGACGUCAGCGGAUCCAUCAAAAUGUAAAUCAGCAACUGCAUGCAUCACUAAGAUUUUAAACAGCUAAGAUAGUAACUAUAAACAAAGAAUCGCCAUUUAUGUUACACAAAUACUUUGUGUUGGCUGAUAUAAUAUGACAAAAGUAAUACAACAAUCUCAAUUUUCUAUUUCCUGAUCACAGGUUGAUUGUUUGAGGAUUCGCAACGAGAUUUCUAGGUUGCAUUUCUGCAUAUCUUGAUUGUCAGAAUAAAAUUAAUAUGACUAUGUAAAUUAGAUGGAUCUUUUAGAAAGGAAGUUGCCAGUAUUUCUCGAAGGCAGUAAUCUAGUAUCACCUAAUUAUAAGCUUUCCAUCUAACCAUGAAACUAUAAUUUUAUAGAAGGCAGUACUAGGUUCACAAUGAUCAUUUCAAAUCAACACAACUAUAAUUAUAUAAAAGCGUAGAAGUACAAGAUCAUGCUCUUGAUUCAUUGCAUCCUCUAAAAAUUUGUCCAUUAAAAAGUCUAGCUGCCGUUUAGUUACGAAGAUAUUUUUGUCUCACUACCUGACAAAAAGAAAAAUAGGAAAGUAGCAGAUAGCUAGCUCUUUGAAUCACCUGGAGGUGAUCAAAUCUUCAAGAGAAAACAUAACUAUACCAAUCCCACAUAGUUCCAUUGCAUUUUAAAUUCUUUUGUCUUGCUUUCUAGAUAUCUUAGGGGGCAUUUGGAUUAACGAAUCUCUAGAUCCAACGUAACUCAAGUGUAGUGGUGUUUGAGUUUUCCUGAAGUGUGGUUAUUUUUUUGUUGUUUGGUUUGAUGUAACUCGUACAGUCUGAAAGUUAAAUCUCAUCACUUGUGUUUGUUUUGGCGUAAUUUGAUGCUAAUGAAAUUAGUUUUUUGAGUUUCUUUAUUUGUUUUGAUGCAAGUAAGUGGAUCCUGUUUCAUCCUAAAUAUAGUGAUAAACUUACUUCUAUAAAAUCCAACUUAUUAAAUAAUUAAAUCUCUCAUUAUUGUUUGGAAGUAAUCUUAACCCAUUGUUAAAAAAAUUAACUCUAACCCAUUCUAAAGGAAGUAGAUUUUAGGUUUUAAUAUUUAAUAAAUUUUUUAGAGAAAGUUGAGUAGUGGAACUUGAGUUCGGUACUCUAGAAUAUUUUAGAGAAAGUUGAGAAGUGGAACUUGAGUUCGGUACUCUAGAGGAGGAAGUCAAGAGUAAGUGAAGUAGAGGUCUAACGUGAUUUGAGUUACAUUAUUUUUUUGACUUACAACAAAACAAACACCUAAAGUGAUGGAACUUGAGUUCCACCCCUCCACUUACACCAAACCAAACAGCUCCUUAGCAGCUGAGAUGUUUUAGCUUUCACACUCCAGUAGUCGCACAUUGGAUUGCAUACAAGCAAUCAUUUCCUAUAUACAUACCAGUAUACUAGAAUUGGUAAUUUGAGCUUAACUAUUCUGGGCGGUAGACAACAAGCUGGUAAUGCUAGUGGACUAGUACAUGUAUAGAUUUAGGGAGUGUUUGGUUCGCCUUUUUUUCACCUUGGAAUCGGAAUCGGAAUGGGUAAAUUCGUUUGUGAGUGUUUGGUACGCGGGAGUCCCAUUCCGAUUCCGAUUCUCGAGUGGAAUGGAAAUCCCCCAAUCACCUCUUUUUCAAUCCGGCCUAGGAGGCCGGAUUGAAAGUUGAAUCCGGACGGAAUGGAUAUUUAUUCAGAUUAAAUUUAUUUUUUAAAUUUUUUUAAUUAAAAUAUGAGUUAAAAUUUAAAAAUUAAAUAUAUAAUUUUAAAUUUUAAUUUAAACCUAAAUUAAAAAUUAAAAUUUAAUCAAGUAUUUCGAAUCUAACUUAUGAAUUUGAAUUUAAAUUAAAUUUUNCCAAGUAGUGGACUUAGCCUUAGCCUUAUUUAGUAAGGGUAAUAGUCACAAACCAAGUCCACCUAUUUUAAUUUGAAUUUAAAUUAUUAUAUUAUAAAGAUAAUGUUAGUAUAUUAAUUUGAUUACGUUUUUUAUAUCCACCUGAACCAAACACUGAUAAUGGGAAUGAUUUAUUCCGAUUCCGAUUCAGGUGAUGAACCAAACAGAAUUAGGUAAUGAGUCAUUCCGAUUCCGAUUCCAGCUUAUUUUGAUUCCGAUUCCGAUUCCGACUCCGACUUCGAACCAAACACGCCCUUAGUUUCAGAGUCACUCCCAGAAGUACUAUCAUGUAGGGCCAACUGAUUAUGAGUUCCAGGUGUUACUUGAUCCAGCGAGGCAACGGUGUAGGAGCAACAGUAUGGUAGGUUUCAUGCAUCAGGGACCCCACAGGGAUUUGUACUGUUAAGGAGACAACAACAUGUGCUGGCCUAUCAAGGGCGUUAGGUCUAAAUGGUGAGAGUUUGACACACCCCAACUAUAACACAUCGGCAGGUGUAUGGAGCAAUGAUUCAAUAUAUAUAGCAUAGCAAUCUAGAAUACUAGUAUCGAUAAUUUAGGCUUAAGCAUUUUAGACUAGCAAUUCAGGCACAGCAAGUUGCUAAAUACUAGCAGCUGGUUGGUGCGUUAAUUAGCCCAGUGUCACGGACAAAACUUUUUUCUUCGUAAAGCCUAUGCGGCGCCCUCUUCCUGCUCGAAGAUGGGCAAGCCUUCCCCAAGUCCAAAUACGGACAAGCCUUCCAAACUUAACAGCGGAAUACCAAUCCAAGCAUUUGUCAAGCUUGCUCCUGCGCAAGACUGACAGCUCAACCAAUCGCUUGCAAUCGAACCCCUCGUCGGACUCCACGAGUUCCCCAACGAGCAACCCCAAUACUGAGGCUGGCCACCAAGCUAGGUCACUUCUCCAUUAUUGGGCCUCUUGCGCCUAACAGCAUCCACGGCCAUACCGCCUACGCGCGGCCUGCUCGCUCAGUCCACUGACACACGUCAAAGCAGCCACCCAAGUGUGCGCCACAAGCUCGUCUGUCUUCCAACGCCAGCGACCCGCGCAACACCCCGCACGCCCAUGCUCCGCACAUCCGUGCUUCGCAUGCGACCCGUACGGCACACGUGCCCUCAACGCUCCUGGCAAGGAAGCCAACAAGCCCACACCGUGCUCUUCGACUGUCCCCACGACCUCGCAUUGCCAUGGCGCUCCGNCGCGCCCUCGGAUUCCAUAGUUUCGCCACAUAAGGCCCCAUACAAACAAGCCGGCCUCGCUUCGCGUCGCAACCCAUCUGACUCCUCCAUGGCUCGACCACGUCUGGCCGCACACCAAUGGUCCAGUCCCUCAAGGUUCACCAUACGGAUACCAAUACUGUUUGCCACACUGGGUUUCGCCCCUCUCGAGUCUCCAAGACCUACGCGCCUCGCGAGUCUCCUUCGACGUGCCUCCCUUUGGCGAUCCUAUAGAGAUCCAUCUCCUUAAGCCUUCGCAGGCACCGCGCCCUGCGAAUCCCCGCUCAGCACGCUUGCCUUCGCGAGCCUUGCCCUCUACGGCGGGCCAUCCAUCGCAAGACUAACCCUCAUCCGCUCGCACGCUCCCCCACAGAGAUCCGAGCCGGCAUAAGGUAGUGCAAGCGAACCUAGGAGCAAAGCCUCCCGGGUACUUCCCGCUCCACAAUGUCUUCGACCUCUGUCUCAGACAUUGCCCUAGACCCGUGACCCUUCAACCAUCCGUUGCACAGUCACACGAAACACUAGGCUUGACUACUCCGCUAGCCAAGGGACGACCCAUGUCCUAUGAGUCGGCGGGGGAGUCGGGGCCACUCUACGAAGUGUCCACCCCUCCUCCUAUAUACCAUGCAGGACAUCCAGCCCUUUGGCACCCCGGGGGUACAAAGGUGCUCACCGAGGGGUACGUUUUGAAACCCCGCAUGCGGUACCAAAAUCCUUGCCAUGGCAUGGGCCAUUGAUAGAGAAUUGCCUUCGUAGACUUGACAGCGGCUCCAACCUGACGGAACGCUUCAACUCCGCAACUCCAUAGCUUCGUCAACUUAAUGACUACCAAAUGUAGCCCCCAAGAGCGUCACGGUCGAGCCCUAACGAUUGACCCGUGACACCAGGCUACCUUAGGAUAAGGGUAUCGAGACUGACCAUGUUAUCUCUAUUAAGGUCUAAUCUCAUUACACUUUUCAUACGUAAUAGUAUAACCUUUGCUCAUUAUUCAUCCAUACAAUCAGAGUAUUCUUCUACAUUUUCGUAUCCAACCCAUAACAUGUCAACGUAACUCCAACUUGACCUUGCAAACCUUGAGCGAAUCGUAAAAGCGACCAUAGGCAACCCAUUAUUGUUCCAACCCCUAGCACCCAUCUGUUAACAAUAAGCCUCAUCAAGUCUCAUGGAAGUACAAAAAGAAAAGGGAGAAGAAAAGACUUCAUGAUAGGAAAUAUAGGAAGGUAAAAGAGAUGGGAGCAGAUAUAUCAUAGCAAAGUUCGAGGAGGGACUUAUGGCGCUGAUUCUAAAUCCAUCUCAAGAAAGAUAAGACAAUCCUUUAAAAAAAGGGAUAAGGUCCUAUGUUUCUCAAGACAGAUUUCAAGACAUCAUACACAAGAGAUAGGUGAACCCAGGGUUUUUCUUCAAGUAAACCAGAAGAUUCUUACAAAACAGCAGAAAAGAAAAAGUUAUAGGAAUAAAUGGGGUGGAGGAGAAUUCAAAAGUAGUUCUCUUUUGUCAUGUCAGUGUUUUGGAAUAAAUUGUUUGGUAGAUGUUUUAGGAAAGCGUUGCGGCUUAGGGACCAAACUGGCAAAGCCAAUGAGAGAGUGGAUGAGGCUCUCAUAUAGUUAGGGGUGAAAAUGGAUAGGAUAUUAUCCGAAAAUAUUCGUAUCCAUAUUCGAUAAUAUCCGGAUCCAGAUAGAAAAUAUUUGGAUCCGGUCAGAUUUGGAUAUGGAUAUGAUUUUCGAGAGUUAAAUUUUCCGAAUAUCCGAAAAAAACGAAUAUGAAUGUGGAUAUCUGGACUUUUAGUAUUGUUAUUUCAUAUUAUAUUUUUGGAUCCGUCCGACCGAUUUUGCCGACCAAGCCUGCCCAAAUUCCUUUUUUCCAAAGUCAAUCUCUCUUAUCUACUCCUUUAAUUCAUUAUCAAUCAAGGUAUAGAGUGAUGAUUAAUACAUGUUGUGAGAAAAUAAGAUAAUUUUUUAUAUUAUUCGUUUAUUUUAUAAUGAAUUAUAUGUUAAAAUUACAUAUUUUAUAUGCGAAGAAAUAUAGUUAGGAAACAAGGCAGGAAAAUAAAGAAAUUUUUUGUGUAUGUGCAGAAAAAAUAUCCAACCAUAUUUGAAUCCAUUUUUAGCAGAUAUGGUUAUAAAAUUUAGCAUCCGACACAUAUCCAUAUUUGAAUCCGUUUUCGAAAAAAAAAUAUGGAUGCGGAUAUGGUUUCGUCAAAUAGACCAAAAUAGAGGAUAUUACCCAAAUAAAAUUAGAAUCAAAACAACUUAUGCAGACCCAUUCUGUAUCAACAAAUCAAAGAAUAGCAUUUCAUUGGCACAGCAUAAUGACACUCAAUUGUGAUUCAAAACAACAGGUACCCAAAAAAGGGCAUUAGGCAAAAUGAUGAGUUUCCAUGUGCCUCAAGCCAUUAAAACUAUCAAGCACGCAAACAAAAAGUGUCACCAAAAGAUCAGAGAGAUCCAGGUGAGAGAAACUAGGGUUGAAAUGCAUAAAGUAUUAGUUGAAGACCUGAAGUAUGCAGACAUAUUGACAGGAAUAUUUAAUAUUAUAUGGCUGGGAUACUUCAUUGCACAUGGUCUAUACAGGGACAAACGAGAGAUUACAUGUCAUUCUUCAGAAAAUUAAAUGAACAACACUAUGAUUAGAGUACAUGGAAAUUACAGAAAAGGAUAAGCAAUAGGAUCAGAGACUGAAAAGCCACGAGAAUAACAAUGAUAUGAGGCGGUAAGAUGAUAGGUUGCAACACAAAAAAACAAUAUGAGAAUUGACAAAUGCUGAGGCCUAGUUGGGGGAAUUGAAUAGAGGAAAAAGAAAUCGAUAAGUGUGCUUUAAUGUCCUCAUGAAAGUUUCCAGUCAUAUUCAUUUUCAAAUUUUUCUUUCACAGUUCUACAAUGGCAAACCUCCAGUGGCAUGAUAAAUGAUGUAAAGCAUGUAAAAGCAAGCUUGUUGAUGGUACAAUCCCUAGCACUUUCAAAUUCAAAUGUGAAAAAUAAGAUUUUCUCAAACUAAACAUCCAGUUUCUCAUUUAAAGCGUCCUGAUAGAAAUGAGAACAAACCUCAACACGGAUGUCACAUAUUGCUUUCAAGAUCAGCAAACGAGUUGCAGGAUCAAGCGUCUUGUAUGUUUCGAUCUCCGCACUAUACAAGUUGGCAUGCUUAAUUUAAGAGAUCAGAAAAAGAUACAUAUCGGGGUCCACAAAUGUAAUGUAUUUAAAGAGCUCACCCAUGAGAUGCAACAAUUGGUAUUUCACCUUCCGCAACCUGCAGUUCUGUGUUCAUUAGCUAUCCAUUGGUAUGAAAAAUGAUGACCACGAUAAAAUAACUCCAGCUGAGAAAAUAACGGGUGCAUACCCAAUACCACCAGUCUUUUAACUUCCUACACAAUACUGUAACCCAGGUUGCACGUCCUAGAGCCAUCCGGGUUACAGGAGGGAUUGCCUGUGGAUAUAAUAAAAGAAGCACUAGAAUCACAACUUGUAUGUUAAUUCUUGUAGUGGAAAAUUUAAGAUUAUUAAGGAGGAAGUCUUUCUGAAUACCCUGGUAUAGGCUAGAGAAAGCUUUGACAGAUGAAGCAAAUAGCAAGCAGAAUUAAAAGAUGCACCAGAACAUAAUACAAAUUACUAUGAAGAAGGAAAUUCGAUUUUGUUACAACAUAAGACUAAGCAAACUCAUCUGGCAUUUUCAGAUUAUGGGCCUUAUUGCUUUCUUUUCCUCAUAUCUAACAAAUACAAGAAACAUUCAUGAAAUGUUGAGAAAGUGAAAAUAUCUAACGAUAUUUUUUGCAGGUCUGACCAUUCAGAGUACCAUAGCAAAUCAAAUACAAGUGAAUUUCAGUAAGUAGUGUUAUCUUAAGGUGUAUAUCCAUAGUCCAAAUGUCAGUCAGAUUAUGUCAAAAAAUACUACUAGUUUAUGAAGAACUGAUAGUUUCGACACUUCCUUCUAAGAUAAUUCUGACUAGUUCAAUAAAUUGUGUUAUCUUAUGGUGUAAACCAAUAGUCCAAAUGUGAGUCAGAUUAUGCCAAAAAAUUCUAGGUCAUAGUUUAUGGAGAACAUAUUGUUUCAAGAGCUGAGGUCAUUCUGACCAGUUUAAAUAUUAGCGAUAGUGAGAUCCAAAGAUAGAGUAUUGUACGAUGAACCAUCUAUUCCUCCCACUCUAUUUCUCUUCUUUCUUGCCAGAUUUCUGAGAAGCUAGUUAUCUUUCAGCGAUAACAACCUUCUGAAAUUUUCCCUCUUCUUCGCUGUAAUGAAGGCACCACUGACUAAAAUUCAGAGCUUUCUAUCUCUUCUAAUUUCACCAACUAAUUCCUAUUGGUUCUUGGAACAGUUUUACAUGAGAAAUAGAGAGGAGAGUUAUUCUUUGAUACAUCUCCAUACGUCAAAUUUGAUAUUAGAUGAAUUCAAGAAUAGAUCAAAAGAAUCGAAUAUAAUAUGACUUUUUUAUCAAAGAAAAUAAAAGGCACAAAUAGUAUAUAAAACAAGAUGUUGCUUCCAUCCCUAUCAGCAAAUCAGAAAUAAUGGUCGAUAAUUCUAGAUAAUUAAGUAUUUACAGAAACCAUCUCAGUCGUCCUUUUUCAUCAGAUCAAAGAUGUGAUGGGCACAUAUUAAUACUAACACGGAAAAUAAUCUAGUCAUGAUUGAUUGACGGAUUGAUUUGUAAGAUUCACCUUUAGAAUCACCAUAGAUAAUAAUAAAUACAAAAGAUUACGAAAUUGUAUUACCAUACUUUGGGAGCACCAUAUCUCAAAAAUAACCAUACUAAAAAAUUGCACUUAACAAGAAUGUACUAUAUACACAAGCCUCUGAUCACAAGUACUUCUCAUCUAGGUGUUAAAGGAUAAUCAAACAUAUUCUUUUUUCUGCCAAAGGACUAUAUUUUAUCAGUUUAGUUGAUCCGUUAUUUUGCCUAUUGCUUUUUAUCCAACUUUAAUGCAGAUUGUUGGUUUACAUCUUAUAGUCCUUUUAAUCAAGAAGAUCGUCCUGUGUCAACUAGGAUGAACGUGUAAAUUCUUACUAUACAGUGUCAUCUUUUCUGUUGAAGUCAUAUUCAACAAGAAUGCUCAACAUACACAUGAUAAGGAGUUAGAUUCAAGAGACAUUAUGAUAAAGAAACUGCUGUAAAGAUAUCGCAGCUACAGGUUGGCCAAGAUCAUGUUGGAAAGAAAAAGUAUUGACCAACAGGACUAGAUUGACAAAAGUUCGUAUCUAACAUCAGCCCUUAUCCGAUUAUUUUAACAACCAUUUCAACCAUUAUUCCCUAACUAAGAGCCCGACCAAUAAUGUUGGUCAUGGUUCAGUGUUUUGUGCAGAACAAAGAUGAAUCUGUUUCACCCAAACCCCAAGAACUUCAUCACGUGGCUAAUCAUGGAAAACUAUCAAGGUUUUUAAAAGCAUUGCCUAGGAGCCUAUUAGACUUAUACAAAUCCAUUCUUUUUGCCCGACAUCCUAUGAAUUUGCAAUAUAUAAAAUUGUCUAUUCAACUUUUCCAUCAAAGUAGAACUAGACAAACUGAUACAUAUAGACCAAUCAACUAACUGCAUUCUCUAGUAUCAUCUCCCUUGUGUCUUCAUCUGAUAAGUAAAACAUAAGAAAAUAUGAAAAUGUUUCCAAGUUUCUCUCGAGUACAUAUACAUCCAUAGUGACGUCAGCGUCUAAGCAGCAUGUCUUUUCAGUUAUUAACUGGCAACAAUAUCCUUGAUCCAAGUAAGGUUAAAGAGUAGCAUUCUAUAAAAACUUGUUUAUUCUGAAAAUUUGAAGUUAGAAAAGUGGCUAUAUGGCAUAAAUAUUGGAGUCACCAAAAAUCAAAACCAGCAUUGUUUUUGCACACUUCCAAGCAAGUAAAUCCAUUCAUUUCCAUGCAAUGGAUCUAACCCUUGCCUGACCUAGAUUUAUCAGUUAAGAUUGACAUCAUAAGGCAAAAGAGUAGGGCCAACUAAAACCAAACAUAAAUGAUACAUAUCUUAAAAUAAGUGCCGAGACAGAACUCCCUCAAACGCACCAUCAUCUAUCAGCAUAUAAUCAUUGCAGUAAAACUAACUAAGCCAGUAGGACCAGAACCAUUUCUUACAUAAUGUAUAGCUAAGGUCAGUAAAAACAGCUCUUUGAGAGAUCAAUCAUCAAUUCUAAGCAACAAAGGCAACAAACUUUGCAACAAAAGAAUCAUAAACUUUCUAGUGUAGCAACCAAGAACAAGAGCAAUGCAGCUCUUUUCCGAUCAAUCUGGAAGCAACUAACCUUCAGGAGAGGCAUAUGAACGUCGUCCAGCGUGCUGUUGGGGGUAAUCAGCGCCGUCUCGAGCUCCUCAGCGGAGAACUCCACCGCAACGUUGAGAAGCGGCCUGAAAACCUAGAAAACAGUUCCCACCCAACCGCGUCAGCCCUAACAACCCUAGAAGCGCCGCCCAGUAACAACGCUGCUCAGGAAGAAACAAUUUAAUCUACUCACAUGGAGAAAGUUGAGCACGGAGGCGAGCUCCCACAUGGAGCGGAGGUCCCACCGGGGGAGGUCGGCGGGGGCCGGCUCCGGCACCAGCGGCGUGAUCACGCGGCUGCUGGCCUGCUUCUGCUCCUCCUUCUCCCUCCGCGCCGACUUCCGGCGCUCCGGCGGCGGCGCCGGCGCCUUCGGCGCCGCCGGCCGGGAGGUGCAGGCCCGCGGGAAGCGCGCCUUCCUCGGGGCGAGGGCGGCGGGCUCCGGCUGCGGGGGGCGGAUCUCCGGCGAGGAUCCGGCGGCGGCGGGCGGCGCCGGGGCCGAAUCGCCCGACAUCGCGGCGGAGGCGGAGAGGAGGGGCCGCGGGAGAGAGAUCGGGCUAGGGUUAGGGUUUCUGAAGGGGCAGGAGAGAUGGAUCGAUAGGGGGAAGGAGAGAGAGAGAGAGUGGAGGGGAGGGUAGUAGAGAGAGAGAUAGAGAGAGAAAGAGGAAGAGAGAGAAAGAGGAAGCCCGAGGAAGCGAGGGGAAGGGGGAAGAAGAAAGCAGGAGGGAGGGGGGGAGUCGGAGAAAGAGAGAAGGGUAAUUUGGGGAUUUCAGGUGACCCGGGGUGCGGGUGCUGUGCCGCUGCUAGGGUGGACGAGGCUUGGACUCGUGAGUCGUGCACAAAUGCUAACGCAUUUUACAAUCUAAAAUUUUCAUCAUUAUAUUAUAUAUCUCAAAAUGCUAUUAUUAUUUUUCAAAAUUACAAAAAAAAAAUAUCAUAAUGAUUUCUUCCAGCGGCUCGAAUUUGAAGCGGAUUUUUAAAUAUCCGAAUUCAAAUCAGACAACCCAAAUCAACCCAAAUAAAAAUUUGAAUACGAAUAUGAAUCCGACUGGUUUUGAAAAUUUAUAUUCAAAACUAAAACCGAACCCCUACCCGAAUAGUGAAAUUUCUAAUUUACUCUUAUUUUAAAUGCACGAGGACACUCAAUUACAGAUUAUUUUCAAUAAUCUCAUCAACUUAUGUAUUUUUAGUUAACAUCACUUUUAACUUUUAUCAUUUUGAAUUAGUAAUUCUAAUUAGUUAUGUUAAAUAUUUUAUUAUAUUUAAUGACUCUGUUAGCUAUUAAUAAUUAAUUUUUUUAGUUUUUUUGUGCUAAAUAGUGAAUAGCAUUUUAAAUAGCCAAUGAACUGAUAGUAUACUGUCAUAUCUAUCUAUCUUCUAUUACUAUAUACUAAAGUAGAACCCUUUAUGAACCCUAUGUGAGAAGCUGACACGUGGCUUUCUAUAUGCUUGCCACGUGUCAAGCUCAAAUAUAGAUUUUUACUAUAUUAUUAAAUUCAAACGGUAGGUGGAUUAAUGAGAUAUUUGAGAAAUUCACGAGUAUUACGUUGCGAAAGAAUUGGCGGAUGCAGAUAUUAGGCGUGGGAAGGAAAAUAUUUGAGAAACGCGUAGAUAGAAAAUAUGAUAUAAAUGCGAGGGUAAUAUUGUCACAAAAAGUAACAGAUAAUUUUAUUUUCAAUCAUUAAAUAAGAUCUAAUGGCAAAAAAUUAAUAUCUUUUAUAAUGCUAUUAAAAAUCACCUAUAAUGAAGGAAAUUUUAUUUCAAAGUCACCUAUAAUUAUAUUGAGGUAGAAUGGAAGAAAGCUGUAAGGACGGUAAAGAAACAAAAAAGAUUACGAUACUAUUUAAGGAUGACAAGUAGGUGCUCAUAAUUAUAAAUAUAUCUUUUGAAUGUUUGUAUAUUUUUUUUCUUAUUAUUAUAAAUAGAUGACUAGAUUGACAGUUAUAUUCAAAAUAAAUUAUAUUGUAUUUAUCAAUCUGAUAACUUUAUAAUACAACACUCAUGUCUACAUCUUAAAUAACGGUACUUUACGUUCUUUGAGAAACAUAGACAAGUCUUCAGGUUUAUGCAAUAGAACCAGAUUAGUGAUCACUCAAUUAGGAAAACAUAUACUAGAAGCAAAAGUAAUCUCUGGGAGUAAUAUUGGGGAGAAGGUGUUUAUACCCCGCAUGGUGAUUACUCCAUCAAACUCCAAGUUACCUUUUAAAUUGCAAUGAAGGCAAUUCCCGUUGGCUGUUUGUUUUGCUAUGACAAUAAACAAGAGUCAAGAUCAAUCGUUAUCACAUGUUGGCUUAUAUCUACCUAGACCGAUAUUCAGUCAUGGUCAGUUAUAUGUUGCAAUAUCUAGAGUUCGAAGUAAGGACAGAUUGAAUAUUCUAAUUUGUGAUAAAGAUGGUUUGUUAUCCAAAACCACAAGCAAUGUGGUUUUUAAAGAAGUGUUUCAAAACUUAAAAUAGGUGAGCGAUUUAUUUUUCUUCAUGUUAUUUCAAAAUUUACAAUUUUUCAACAAUUCAACUGUAG
rnacentral:lncRNA from 1 species